CAAUUCAAGGUUUCGACCAACCUAACAUUUCUUUUUGGCAUAUAACCAACCUAGCAUUUUUUAAUAUUCAAAAGUAUGAUAUCUUGGUGUUGCAUGAAUUUGAAUAAUAAAGUUUAUAUAAUAUAUAUUAUGUAAUUAUUUCUGGUUUUGUUUGCACGUGGUUUUGGACUUUAUAUAUAUAUAUAUAUAUAUAUAUAUAUAUAUACGGUUAAAUACAUGUGUAUGCAUGAAUAUGUGUUAAUUAAUGAUAAUUGAACUCAACUCUCUAUAUUUGCUUAACGCCUUGCUUGAUUGAGGUUUAAUUAUUUCUUGAGCCUAGUAACCGAACCAACCUAGGAUUCGCCGAACCGAAAUCAAAUUGAAUUUCAGAAUAUAUCGAAUAAACCGAGCAUAAUAGCUGAACUCAAAAUUGGUGUAACAAAUCAAAUUGCACAAUGUCGGUAAAUUUAUUAAAAUUCAAUAUUUUUAUAGAAAUAUGAAAAAUACAUCUAAACAAAACGCCUACAAUGAUUAAUUAAAACGACUUAUUUACUUAUAUUUUCAUCAGCUUUUUCCUAAAAACUAAUCAAAUUUGAACAUAACCAAACCGAAUCGAAAUAAAAUUGGGUUCUAGUGUUGAUUUUAAUAUUUUUUUGUCAACAUCUUUUAUAAUGAAAACGGUUAAAAAUCCAAACCCAAGGAACAUAGUUUACAUAGCUAAUAUUUGAAAGCUUUUACAAAACUUAGAAGAUAAGAAUGGAGAAGAAGAACUUUUGUUAUUAUUAUCAACUCAACGUUUACAAUCGUAGUACAUAGACUAUAUAAAGACAAGGCUCUCUAAUGAUAGUACGCCAGGUGUCCUUAGCUGCACAUGAUGAGAGCAUCAAAUCUGUUAUUGAGGAAGCUUCUUGGAAGGCUCCUUUGCGCUGAGAGCACACAACUUUUGUGUGUUGGUUUUGGCGGUAACACCUGAGAAGACUGAGAGAUGGGCUUUGACUGAUCUGAGAUCGAGUGGGCUUGUGGUAAAGGCCCAACUUCGGUUUUGCUUACCAAAGCCAAAACCUCUGUUUGAGGCAGAGUCUUCUUCUCUUCAAUACACCCCCUCAAACUUGUUGUCGGAGGAUUGGAGACACCAAGUUUGUAUCGCAAGGAAAAGAACGGCUCCUGAGCAAGGGACUUCGUGAAUAUAUCAGCCAGUUGAUGUUCAGCUGGAAUGUGUUUGACAACAAGAGCACCAUGUGCUACUCUUUCCCGGACAUAGUGGAAAUCCACAUCAAAAUGCUUGGACCGUGAAUGCAGGGCAGGAUUGGCUGUGAGAUAAACUGCAGAGAGAUUAUCAUAGUACAUUUCAGGAAUCUCAGAUUCAGGAAUACCUAGAGAUUGAAGCAGAGCAGAAAUCCAUUUGAGUUCAGAGGCUGCAAAGGACAAUGUUCUGUAUUCAGCCUCAGUGGAAGACUUUGAAACUGUUGGGUGCCUUUUUGCAGACCAGGAGAUGAUGUUGGUGCCAAGAAAAGUGCAAAAGCCUCCAGUUGAUCGUCUAGUGUCCUGGCAUCCAGCCCAGUCACUGUCACUAUACGCUCGUAGAGUAGAAUCUGUAUUGGCAUUGAUGUCAACUCCCAUAUGUAUUGUACCUUUUAAAUACAUGAGGAUACGCUUAAGAAGAUGGAAAUCAGCAACAGUGGGCUUGUGCAUCUUUUGGCACACAAAAUUCACUGCGAAUUGAAUAUCUGGUCUUGUUAACGUCAAGUACUGCAGUUUCCCAGCCAAACUUCGAAAAUAGGUAGGAUCUUCAAAAAUUUCAUCUUGUCCAGAGACUUUAUCAAGCUGAAGUGGUAAUGGAGUAGGCAUUGGUGCACAAUCAAGCAUUCCAGCUGUUACAAGAAGGUCUUUAGCAUACUUCUCUUGAUUCAAAAACAAACCAUCCUUGUGAAAAUGAGCUUGUAUUCCAAGAAAAUAAUGUAAUGGACCAAGAUCUUUCAUACGGAACUCUUCAUUCAGACAAACCAAAAACUCUUGAAUCAACUGAUCAUUGUUACCCGUGAGCACCAUAUCAUCAACAUACAGAAGAAGGAACAUCAUGUCAUUGCCUUUAAUGUAGACAAAGAGAGAUGGAUCUGGAAGACUGCAAAUGAAGCCGAAUUUUAAUAGAUACGUACUGAACUUAUCAAACCAAGCACGAGGAGCUUGCUUGAGACCGUAUAUAGCCUUUUUGAGUUUACAUACGAAGUCUGGUCUGUUAGCAUCUUCAAAUCCCGGAGGUUGUACCAUAUACACUGUCUCCUCUAGAUCACCAUGCAAAAAUGCAUUCUUUACAUCUAAUUGCUUAAUGUUCCAAUGUUGAGUGACUGCGAGAUGAAGUACAGAGCGUACCGUAGCAGUUCGCACCACUGGACUGAAGGUUUCAACAAAGUCAACCCCUUCUUCUUGGUCAUAACCCUUAGCAACCAGUCUUGCUUUCAACCUGUCAAGACUUCCAUCAGAGUGUAGCUUUGUUUUAAAAAUCCAUCGACAUCCGAACACAUUUUCAGCCAUAUCCGGAGGAACCAGAUCCCAAGUAUCAGUUUCAUGCAUUGUAGACAUUUCUUCUCCCAUUGCACUAGUCCACCCUGGGUCUUUCAAUGCAGACUUCACUGUCUUAGGCUCAGGAUAGUUUUCUUUGACCGUGAACAAUGCAUAUUUAGGAUUAGGCUUAACAAUUCCUGCCUUUGCUCUUGUAAUCAUUGGAUGAGAAGAUGAUGUUGCAGUAGAUGGAUCAACAGAGGAAGCUGCUGAAGUACUUUGUUGUUGAAGUAAUGGAGGAAAGUCACUUUCAGUAAAGAGAGAACCACAGUCUUCUGUUGUUUCUGGUAUAACUGGAUGAGUAAGUGUAGAAUUUGUAGUUUCCACAGAUGAUAUAGCCGGUGGUGAUGAAUGAGGAAGCUUAGAUGUGUCUAUCCUACUCGAAGAAACAUGAGAGCUGUUGCCUAUAGAAGUAGGAUCAAAGCCUAUCGUACCCCCAAUACUCUCAGUUUCUUGAAUAGGAGAAGACACAGCAGCAACAUUCUGAGAAUCAAUAGCAGUUGAAACUUUGGUAUUACCAGACUGCCAAGCUGAAAGUAAUGGAGUAUGAGCCUGAGACUUGUAGACAUUAUACUCCUCUGAAUAGGGAAAACGAUUUUCUGAAAAUAAGACAUGUCUACUUAUAUAAACUUUACCAGAAGGAGGAUGAAGACACCGAUAACCUUUAUAUUUCUCAUUGUAUCCCAGAAAAACACAAUGGAGAGACUUUGGAUCAAACUUGUUAACACCAUAAGGACGUAAGUAUGGGUAGCAAGAACAGCCAAAGACUCUUAAAGAGGUAUAAAUAGGAGGCUUCUUAUGCAAAACUUCAUAGGGACUGACCUUGUUGGUAAGAACAGAGGAAGGCAGUAGAUUACCUAAGAAGUUUGCUGUGAAAAAGGCUUCAACCCAUAGUUCUUGUGGAGCAAAGCUUUGAAAUAACAUAGACAAACCCAGUUCUGUAAUAUGCCUAUGUUUCCUUUCAGCAAGACCAUUCUGUUGUGGAGUAUAUGGACAUGACAUCUGCUGUUUGAUCCCUGACUUUGCUAGAUGAGUGACAAAUCUUGUACUAACAAACUCACCCCCUCCAUCACAUUGAAAACUCUGAAUCUUUAGUUGUAGUUGAUUCUCAAUUAAUUGUUGAAAAGUCAGAAACACUGAAUAGAAAUCAGACUUGCUCUUGAGAGGAUAAAACCAAGUGAAUCUUGAAAAGUGAUCAAUAAAUAUAACAUAGUAACGAAAUCCUUGAGGAGAAACAACCGGAGCAGGGCCCCAUAAAUCACAAUGGAUGCGUUCUAAGGGCUGAGAAGCAACAUAAUUUGAAGAAACAAAUGGAAGUCUACUGAUCUUCCCUAACUGACAAGCUUCACAUAGAUGAGAAGGUGCCUUAUUCAUUACUAUAGACUUAUUGCUUGAUAAGAGUUGCAGGAUCUCACUGUGUGGAUGUCCAAGUCUCCGAUGCCAGACUGCUUCACUGGUUAUUUGUUGACGAUUUGAGUAGAAAGUAUCAUGAACCUGAGAAUCCUUUAGCACGUAGAGAUCAUUGCGUCUGCUCCCUUUCAUGAGGAGCUGUUUUGUCUGCAGAUCCUUUAUUUGAACCGAAUGUGCAUCAAAAGUAACAGAACAAGGAUAAUCAGCUGUUAGCUUGGAGACUGACAAAAGAGAUUUUUUGAUAGCAGGACAAACCAAAACAUCAUCUAGUGGUAAAGUACCUUUCAGAGUAGUAGAACCAACAUGUGUAAUAGGCAGAAAAUCACCAUUGCCAACUAUCACUGAAUCUGCCCUUGCAUAAGGUUCAACACUCUGUAAAGCAGAAGGAGAGUUUGUAAUAUGUGCAGUAGCCCCACUAUCAGAGACCCAUUCAUUACCUGCUGCAUACUCUUGAUCAGAAACUCGCAUUGCAUUCAAAGCCUGAGCAAUAUCAGUGUUGUAGUAGUCUUCUUCAAACCGAUGAUAACACUUGUAAGCAGAAUGUCCAAACUUCCCACAGAUUUGACAUGUAGGUCGGUUAUCAGCUUGAGAACCAGUGCUAAACUGCUGCUGAAAACCUCUACCAUGAGUUGAAUAGGAUCCCGAACCUCUACCUCCUCUGUUACCUCCUCUUGAUUGACCACGACCUCUGUUGUUACCAGAAUAUCCACCUCUAUUAGAGUAUCCUCCUCUAUUGUUGUUGGACUGAGAUGAAGAAUAUCCAGGCUUGUCAAAAUAAAAGGCCAGAUGUGGAGUAACUCCUGUUGCAGACUCAUAUUGUUGAAUCUUAUCAUCAAAGUUUGUGAGUUUAAACUCAACAUCUUCAAAACAUGGACCAGGAUAGGAUUCCAUAGAUUCUUCAAUCACAGUACUAAUGGACUCAUAUUCUUUCCCUAAACCAGUCAAUGCACCAGAUAUCUUUUCAUGUUCAGAAAGAGGAGCACCAAUAGAAUCAAGUUGAUCACACAGAGAUUUUAUUUCAGCUAAAUAAACAGCCAUAGUCUUGCCUACUUUUGUUGUUGAAUGAAUCUUCUUCUGGAGAUCUAACUUUCUAGUAGCAGAGACUCGGUUAUACUUUUUAGCCAGAGAAAACCAUACCUCUUGAGAUGAACGAAGACCAUACACACUCUUAAGAGCAGUUUCUGAAAGAGAUCCAAACAGCCAGGCCAUGACUAGCUGAUCUGAUUGUAUCCAUCUCACAAACUCUGGAUUGCUGAUCUCUGUAGCUUGGCCAUUGUUAUGAACCACCAGUGUUGGAGUCGGACGUGAAAUCGCCCCAGUAACAAACCCUAAAAGCAUCUGACUUGACAAAAAUUGCUCAAACUGUAAUUUCCAGAGCAAAUAGUUGUUGUCAGUAAGCUUUAGAGUCACACACUGAGAAAUGGUAACAGUAGGUCUAUAAAAGGUUGUAGCAUCAGAUUGAUGCUGAGCUUGAAAAGAAGGUGAUAAAGAUGGAGAUGGUGAAGGAACAUGAAAUGAUGGAGGUGGUGGAAGAUUCAUAGAUCCAGAAGGAGACUGAGAAAAGAUGACAGCUGCAGUCUGAGGAAUAAGAACUGCAGGAUUUGAGACUGGUUGAGAACUCAUAGAUUGAGAACUCAUAGAUGCGGAAGAAGAGCUAUCCAUGGCUCUGAUACCAUGAAAGCUUUUACAAAACUUAGAAGAUAAGAAUGGAGAAGAAGAACUUUUGUUAUUAUUAUCAACUCAACGUUUACAAUCGUAGUACAUAGACUAUAUAAAGACAAGGCUCUCUAAUGAUAGUACGCCAGGUGUCCUUAGCUGCACAUGAUGAGAGCAUCAAAUCUGUUAUUGAGGAAGCUUCUUGGAAGGCUCCUUUGCGCUGAGAGCACACAACUUUUGUGUGUUGGUUUUGGCGGUAACACCUGAGAAGACUGAGAGAUGGGCUUUGACUGAUCUGAGAUCGAGUGGGCUUGUGGUAAAGGCCCAACUUCAGUUUUGCUUACCAAAGCCAAAACCUCUGUUUGAGACAGAGUCUUCUUCUCUUCAAUAAUAUUUUGUGGACUCUGUUGAUUCUUUUAAGUUUUAACUAAAUUUUUUUAAAUCCAAACCGACUGAAGGAAAAACUGAAUGCCCAAGCUUUUUCUAUUGCAUGAUAGCAUGACCAAAGAAAGUAGUUGUAUGUCAAGCAUAUUGUCUCUUAAGUAUUAACGCCCAUGCAGUUGUAAAUUAAGCUAGAGAUUUUCGUCCGUUUAUUAUGCAUAAAUUUAAGAUAUGAAUACUUAUUUCAUGAUAUUCCAUAUCUAUUUCUACUAAAUAAACAGUCACUUUACUAAAAACUGCCACACUCUUCUUCUGACACGUGGCAAAACUUUCAAAUUUUGUUGUUUCACUUUCGUAAUCCAUUUUUCCUGAAUUUUUUGACAAAAAAUAUAUAAAAUAUCUUACCACUUUCUUUCUUAGUAACUUCUUCUUCUCUUCUUUUCCAUAACCUUAGAUCCUCCAUUCUUUCUUCGAAAUCCUCCAUUUUUUCUCAUAUUUUUUUUAAAUGAGAAGUCGAGAACCAUCCACUAUCUUUUAAUAUUUUUUUGUUUUAAAUCUAUAUUAAAAAAAUCCACGUUUUUAUUUUCUUCAUAAUCCACGAUCCCUAACACAACUUCAAAUCUCAAAAUCGUUUUAUUGCAAAUGCAGAUGUAGCAGUACUUACUUUUAAUGUAAAAACAGUUCCUAAUCAGGCCUCAAAAUCGUCCUUCAUGCUCGACCACGAGUAUAAUGCGUCCAUCAAUUCCCGGUCCAUCCUCGGCGUUUAUUCAAUACAAGUAAGUUUUGAAAACAAAGUUUGAAUUUUUGUUUUCCUUUCGUUUUUCAUUUCAUAUUCGUUCUUUUCUCCUUCUUUUUUUCUAUGAUUUUACUUUGCUUUUUAUUAGACAGCAAGAGAACAAAAAGUUUGGAUCCUCAAGCUUAGCUUCAAAGAAAUUAAAAUAUUAUUAGAUCCUCAAACCAUGAUUGGAUCAUCAAAUCAAGGUUUCAAUGAAGAAGUUAUUUUUAGAACGAAAUGGAAAGAGAAGCAUGUUCGGUUUGCUAGGAAAUUCGGAGAUGGAGCAAAGACUUUCCACAACCAGUAACGUAUAGAUUGACUUUUUAUAUUUAUAAUUAUGUAGUACGCUCACAAAGUUUGUCGUAUUUCAUCAAUAAUUUGUUUGUUUCAUAUAUUUUUUUUAACUAUAUAAGAUAAUGGAUUCAAUGCACUUCUAUUUUAAAAAAAAAAACUAAAAACAAUAUAUAUUUAAUUUUCCCAAAACAUUUUGAAUUAUGAUGUAAAUUAGUAUUUAUUUUAUCCAUGUAUAGCAGGGGCAUAAUAUUAGUUAUUCGUUAAUGCACCAUGCAUAUUAUAUUAUUCUUGAUUCAAAUGCAUGAAUCGAACAUAAUUAGUCUUGUUUAGCCCAUAUUAUACUUAAUCCAUGUGCUCCAAUCGGAAUUCAGUCGUAAGUUUCUUAAAGAACCUUUAUCAUCAAAAAAACUAACAUUAAUGGUUAUUUUCCAUACAUAUAAAUUGAAACAAACCUUAAAAAAAAGUUAAUCAAGAUUCAAACACUUUAUCGUACUAAAUUGUAUGUGGGUCUUACUAAAUUUAUUCUAUACCAAACAAAUCAAUAUUGCAAGAGGUUAAUUUAGUCCCAGAUUAACAUAGUUAGUAGCAAAUUUUUCAUGUAUAUAUGAAUUUUGUUGAAAGGGACACAAAAUAAAUAACUAAUAGAGAUAGGUUUAUCUCAUAAAAAGAAAAACUAUGAGGGAUAAUAUUAUCCCACAUUGGAAAGGACAAGGGAUCUUGACUAGUAUAUAAGAUAUAUGGGUCUCUCCACUCAUCGCCAAUUGGUUUUGAGUUGGAAGCCCAUAUUCUAGAUUGGCUCUAGCCAUUGAUCUCGGUAUGCUCGUGCAUGGAUCGUCGGGCAACUAUUGGUCGAUGGUGGAUUGGAUUUGGACAUGUACGGAUCGGACUCUGAUACUAUAUUAGAAUAUGGGCUUCCAACUCAAAACCAAUUAGCAAUGGGUGGAGUGACCCAUAUCCUUUAUAUAUUACUUAGGAUCUCUUCCAACUUCCGAUGUGGGAAAUUAUGUCCUAAUAAAAACAAGUAUCUUAAAAGAAAAGGGAAAAUUAGUGACAACCAGAUGAGAAUAGGAUUAAAGUGUUUUUAGUGUCCUACAACCAUGUGGCGGUUGACAUCGUCCAGAUUAUAAUUGUCAUCCAUACUUCCUUGUCUUAAAAGUGAUCUAAUAACAGUGUCAAAAUGAUAACUUCGUCUUCUUCUUCUUUUGUAUUAUAGGACAAUUGCGAAGAAAAUUCCCAAUUUUGUAUAUACAGUAAAACCUCUAUAAAUUAAUAAUGUUAGGGCCAUAAAAUUUUAUUAAUUUAGAGAGGUAUUAAUUUAUAGAAAGAUUUUCCUAAUUUGGUAAUUUCUUAAAAAUUACCAUCUAAAAAUAAAAAAUUUCUUUAUAAGCAAUAUCUUUUUUAAACCAAUUGUAAGUAGAGAAGCAAUUAUUAAGUUUAAAAAACAACACAAAUUUUUUUUAAUAAUAGAGUCAUAUUUCAUUAAAAAUUUUACAUAUAAUAUUUUAAAUAUAUAUCGUAGUAAUUCAUAUAUGAAAUAUAUAAAUUUAUAUCAUAUAUAUAUUAAGUUAAAUAUACAUAUAUAUAUAUAUAUAGGUUUAUAUAAUUAUUAAUUUAUGAUAUAGAUGGGACUAUACGUUUAUAUGAGAUUUUCAAAAAAAAUAUUAUCUUAUUAAUUUAGCGAGUUAUGUCAUAUUUUACAUUGGUCCCAACUCGGGACCGGAAGAAUUUAUUAAUUUAGAGAGGUUAUUAAUUUAUAGAAUAUUAAUUUAUAGAGGUUUUACUGUAUCUCAAGAUUAGUUUCGUUUUAUAGUAACAAAUGAAAAGACUUUGAAGUGUGACCUAUUUAAUAUGUGAUCAUCAUCGGUUAGCAGGCUAGAAAAAUAUUGUACUUAUGUAAAUUAAUUUUGCAUAUUAACUGUUGCAUGUAGUGAUAUAUGUAAGUAUGUAACUAUGUAAAUAAGGUUCCAAUAAGAAUAAAUUUAAGUGCAUGUCUUCAAAAAAUGAGUUCUUUUAAGUUUCUAUAAACUUGUCAGAAACUUAUUUUUUUCAAUCAUGCAACACAACUAAUAAAGUUAUAAAGAAAAUAUGACUGGACCAUUAGAUAGCUAUCGACUUUUUGAAUUAUUGCUAAAUGCUCUAUCCUUGAACAUGUAAAAUAUAUAUAUAUAUAUAUAUAUAUAUAUAUAUAUAUAUAUAUAUAUAUAUAUAUAUAUUUGUGGCUAAAAAUUGUUGAAAUCAAUAAUUUGAAUGUGUAGAACCUUUUUUCAGUUUUUUUUUUCUUGAAUUAUUUAUAUACUUCUUUGAAAGUACAUAAAAAAUACAGUAUCCUAAAAUAAAACGAAGGAAAUAUAAGAUUAUGUGUCACGGUUAAGUAGACCGUAUUAAUUAGAGUUUGUACCGGUAAACCGGAUGUGGUUAUUUCACUAUAUAUUCUCUACCACAUGUAACAGAUCAUUUGUGAGAAAUACAAACUUUUAUCUUUUCUUCGAUUUCUCACGAAUAUUAAUAUGGUAUAAGAGCACAAUUCUUCCGUUUUUCGUCGCAAAUUCCGCCAAUUCUUCGAGUUUACUUCAUUAUCAUCUCCAUCAUCGAUUUCAUCCAUUUCCACCAAUUUUUCUUCGUUUUCUUGAAUUUUUCACUUUUCCGAUCAAAAUCCGCUGAAUACGAUGGUUGCUGUUCACAAUUUACCGCGUCGUACUCUGUGAUCACGUCGUUCAGAUGAAAGAACUCCUCCUAUACGCGAAUCAACUCCGGCUUCAUCGCCAGUGGCUCAUAAUUCUCCGAUUUUCACUCAAAUGGCUUCCGAUCCUCCGAUUGAUUACACGGAUUUGUACUCUCAUUAUGCUUUGACGAGUGGAGACAAUCCGGGGAAUGUUAUCAUCACCGAGGUAUUAGAUGGAACCAAUUAAUCUUCUUGGACUAUCGCUAUGUCUGUUGCACUCGAUGCGAAGAACAAAAUGGCUUUUAUCGAUGGAUCUCUUCCUCGACCUCUUGCUACAGUCACUAGUUUUCGUUAUUGGUCUAGAUCAGUGGCGGAGGUAGGGUGUUAGUAGGGGGUCACUUGACCCCCAUAACUUUUAGAAAGUUUUGUUUAUUAGGCUUAAUUAUUUGGUAUUUGUUAAUAAUUUUGUUUAAAAUGUUAAUGUUGACCCCAUUAACUUAUCUUCAAAUCAUGUUUUUGCACCCCUUUUAUUAAUUUUUUUUUCUAUUGACUCCUGUCAAAUUUAUUUCUGGUUCCGCCACUGGUCUAGAUGUAACAGCAUGGUGAAGUCUUGGAUCUUGAACACUGUGAGUAAACAGAUCUAUAAGAGUAUUCUUCGCUUUGAUGAUGUGUCUGCAAUUUGGAAGGAUAUUGUCCCACAUUGGUUGAGUUUGUGAUUUUUGGGUAGUAUAUGUGUUAUGGCAAUCCUUCUCCUUUGAGCUAGCUUUUGGGUGUGAGUUAGGCCCACACUAAUAUGGUAUCAAAGCCCAGACCUAAUUCUGAUUGUGGACCACCCGUGGAUGUCUACUCCCACAAACUUCACGCUUCAGAUAUCCAGUCUUGAGCGUGAAGGGGGUGUGAGAAUAUUAUCUCACAUUGGUUGAGUUUGUGAUUCUUGGACAGUAUAUAUGUGUUGUGGCAAUCUUUUUCCCUUGAGCUAGCUUUUAGGUGUGAGUUGGACCUACAAUAAAAAAAAUAGGAUGCACGUAGACAAAUUUACUCUCUACUUUUAAAAAAUGACUGGUCCAUGGAAGUUGCUUAGGUAAGCAAAAAUAUUAUAUUAACGUUUGUUAUUACUUGUAUUAAAAACUAACAACUAAUAUGUGUAAUUAUAGUAUCACAUCCAUAGGUCAAUCUGUUGUCUACACUCAUUUAUACCAUUUGAAACUACUAUCCACAUUUAGACUAACUUGCGAAACCGUUUUGUUUUUGCAUCUAACUUGCACGCAUAUGUAUGCACUGGAAAUUUUAAAAAUUCUACACAUAAAGUGAAGGACUACGUACACCCUUUUUUCUUUAGACCAUCCAGCCAACAAAACUUCCCUCCAACAUAAAAGCAUAUGGUAUAUAUAUAUAUCCUAUUGAAAUAACAGUUGGAUGGUGCCAUCAUUGUUUACUUGACUCUUGACUAUACCUUUCAAAACAUUACUAAGCCUUUGAAAAGUCAGUUUCAUCGCAAUCAGAUUUGGUGUUCAAGAUCGAGCCAUUCCUAAAAACUACCUAAAAACCAUGUUGAAAUAUAUAAAUUUAGACAUAGUUGUGGUCAACAUAUUUUACUAAAAUUACAAAAGAAGUUUGUAGGAAUCGUGUGAACUAACUAAAGAUUGUUACGGCCGGUAAAAUAUAAAAAUUAUAUUCCUUAUUAGCAAAUUUAAACCGUAUAAUUGAAGGAAAAAAAACGUAGAAAACAAUAAAGGAAUAAUUGGCACGACGUUAAGCUUAACUUUACAUGGAAUGAUAGAGAGAAAAGUAGAGAUUUCACAUCAAUUAUUUCUAUUUUUUCCUUUUUCUUUGCAUUGCUUUAGUGAUAAUUCACAUUAAUUGGCAAUACACACCAUGUGAGAAAUAUUCAAAGGAACAGAAUAGGACAAGCUCCAAAGAUAAUUGUUUACCUGUCACUUGUCUUGUCCCACUUUCUAAUUGUAUUUGAUAACUCUCUUAUCAUUGUUUUCUACAGUUUUAUCAUUAGUUAGUCACUAUUAUAUUACCAAAAUUAGUUUAGUAAUAGAUUAAGUCAAGGUUAUAUAUAUUCCUAACUACUAAAUGUACAAUAUUAGAUUAUUCAAGUAAACGAAUCAAUUUAAGUUCAUUGAUUAAAAACUUGGCAGGACACGGCCGGCUGAAACCUACCACCCCUACUUGAUCCACAAUCUUUGGUAAGAUAAGACUAAUUAAACCCAUGGGAAGAUACUAAUUAAUUUUGUUUUUCCUUUUAAAAAAUUAUUGAUCUAAGUAAGGUUCACAAUCUUUGGUACUAAGAAAAUUAAUUUAAGUUGGAAAUAAAAAUUAGAAUGAUAGUUAUAAUAAGUUAAAUAAGUUUCGAUAUAAACAAUCAAAACAUGUUCAAAUAACAAAAAAUAUAACUAUAAAUAUUUAACUUUUUAUAUCUAUUCUAUAUAACAAAUAAGUGCUUCAUCUUCAAUGAUACCAAGAAAAUAUGAUUGAAUAUAGGUUAAAACUUUAUUUAAUUCCGAUGUAGUUAAUUAUCUCAUCCAUGUACUAAAACUCUUUUCUUUUGUUAUCUCUAUUGCUCUCAUUGUAAAAUAAGUAGUAUUUAAACAAGAAUUACUAAAAUGAAAAACACACACCUAAAUCACUUAUAUUUUUUUUUCUGUUAAGUACUCCUAAACUAUUUAAACAAAUGCACAUAAAUAUCUUAAUGGUGAUAGUUUAUCAAUAAAGUAUCUGAAAUUAGCAUCCUCUUAUUAAAAACAAAUCUAAAUUUUAACAUUAAAAAAAAAAAAACACAAACUAACAAAUCAAACAAAACACAAUUACACCACAAUAGUCUAAAAAAUAAUAAUACUGGCAUGGGAUCCACAAAACACACUGUCAGAAAAUCUUCAGAGUUUCAGAGAACAAGAAGAAGAAGAAGAAUAAAACAGUAAAACCAGAAAACAUAUCUAUUCUUACAUUUUAUCUCUUCUUGUUCUUGUCUCUUCCAUUACCAGAAAACAUCGAACCAAAACCAAACAAAUUCCCAGAAGGAACAACGUUUAUAACCGGACUCACUCUAAUCCCACCACCUCCAUGACUACCAUAACUAUAACCUCCAUAGCUUUUCUUCAAUGGUGGUUUCGAAAAACCAUUAUUACUCAACGAAGACGAAGCAGAGGAAGAAGAAGACAACGAUGAAGAUUGUUGUAGCUUCACAUGUUCGUUGUGUUUCCUUGAGCUGCUCUGUUUUUGUUUACUCGACGUUGAACCGGUUGAAUUACUCCGGUUUAGUAACGGUAACGGACAUAAACUCCGACCAUAAGUACUUCCACAGUUUAAACUACUGCUUCUCUUAAACCCCCAAAACGACUUCGUAUUGGUUUUCUCCUCCGUCGUGAUUAUCACGUCGUCUUCUUGUUGUUCUUCGUUUUGUUUCCUCUGUUUUCUUGAAUCUGGUUUAGUCUUAACCGGUUUUGUAUCUUUCGAUUCGGGUUCUUUUUUUCCCGGUUCUGGUUUUUUCUUGAUUUCUGUUGGUAAGAUUUUGCCGUUAGAGAAGAGUUCAUCAGCGGACCAAGAACCUUGAUCGAAGCUUUCGCCGGAAUUUACGCCGCCGGGAAUGCAGAAAUCGAAAUCAAUGCUUGAAUUGAGGCUUGACGGUUUAGAGUUUGAUGAUCUUAAGGGACGUUUCUCGAUUGGUAUUGCGUCUGAUUGACAAAAGUCACGUGAAAAUGAGAUUCUUGGACUCAUAUUAGAAUUUUCCGAUAAAAGAUCCACCGCCAUUUUCUUGAAGAAGAAGAAUUUGAAAGGUUUUUUUUUAUAUAUAGUAAAUGAGAAUUUAUGAAAACGAAGAGAUUUUUUUUUUUAGUUUCUGGAGAAAAAGAGGAGAAGGAGAAUUUCGAAGAAGAGAGAAAGAGAGAGAUUUGGGGAGGAAGGUGAAUUUAAUUAUUUUUAUAGGUGAUUUUAAAGAAAAUGAAAUUAGGAAUUAAAAUGAGAAAAUAAUGAAAUUUAGAAUUUUUUUUUUUGUGAAAAAGAGAAAAAGGAGAAUAAAAAAUGGUAAUAAAAGAGGGGACAAAGAAGCGUGUCGUUUGCUACAUAUUCACAUGCAUGGGCCAAAAAAUGGAUAUAUGUUGGUUCUUCACUUUCGUACCUUUUUUUUUUUUCGAAUGGUCUAAUUUUUUAUGUAAAAUAUUGAAACUUUUGAUUGAGAUAUAUUGAAACUUCUGUAAAAAAAAAUUGUUGAAGUCAAAAGACAUGGGCAAAAACUGCAAUGUUUGAAAUGUUUAGAGAGUAAAAUGUUCAGAUUCGUGUUGACCAAUCUGAUGAAGCAGUGAAUAUAGACCAAUGGUGUAAAGUUCACCGACCCAAGACUUUAACAACACAAUUACUAAAUUUGUCUAGGACAUUGUGAAGUUAAGGAGAUAAGUUUGUGGUAAGAGGUAUAAAGGAGAGGAAAAAAAAAACUAAAUUGUUUGGGUAUUGUUCAUGCAAGAUUUUUUUAAAUCGUCAUGAUGCGAGUUUUUUUUUUUUUAAUAAUUGUUGUGGAUCGUUUAUUGGAGAAAUAAAAUAUAUUUGUAUUACAGAAAAUAUAACCAACCAAAGUCAUUUAGACCACUAGGACAAGUGUGAUGUUUUCCGAAUAUCUCUUCUACAUUUAAGUAAGAAAACGUUUAUUCGAUUUUUGAAAAGCAAUGCUUUCUAAGUUGUUUGUUUAGUUCGGUCCCUUUAGUUUUUUGGGGUCAGUUUUAUGUGUAAGAAUUAGUCUUUUAUGUCAAAUUCUGGAUUUGGAUUCUCCAUUCUCUUUAGGUGGAAUUUUGUUUUUUUAAAAAAGAAGUAUUUAGAGAGUUUACCGAGUUUGGAUAUCGGAUCACCAUAUUUCAGGGUAGAUGGAUCAGUCACUUAUCGAUCUUUCGCAUAGUUCGUAAGUUUGGUGACUAAUGACUCUAAAGCACGUUACAAAACAUGUGUUCGAUAAGUUAGGGUAAUAUAGCAUCGCUACUGCUUUAUACGAGAAUGUUGCAUCCCAUUGAACAUUUACUUCACGUUUAAUAAGGUCGAGCACUAGCCAUUCUUCGAAUUUGAUGUAUUCAGGAUGAUAUUUACAUAGGAAAUCAGUUACCAGAAAGUCUUUUUGCAUGUUUGACACCCAAUUAUCACAACCUGAAAUGUUGGUGCUUUUGAUUGAAAUUUACCCCAACAAUAUUGUUACUGCUAAAACUAUUAGUUGAAGUUAGCCAAAAACAUUCAACAACCUCAAUUAAUUCGAUAUUUAAACAUUUUGAUCCAACCAUUUAUUUGCAAUGACUAUACCGACCUUACUGAACCGUACCAACUACAUUUAUCUACGAUGCUUUUUAUGAGUAUUGAAUUAGGAGCUAAACGAUACAAAUGUUGCUGUCUUAUUAUUCAGUUUUUAAAUUAUUAACCUAGUUUGUUCUUGUCUUUACUAAUUUAGAAUAUCCGUUUAUUUUUAAGAUUCUCAGUUUAGGUUUAAUUUAAUGGUUAGGUGAGAAAUUAAUUAUAAGUACAAAAAUCAUAAUAAAAUCAAUAAGGGUGGCAUUGUUGAUGAUAUUUACCUCCAAACUAAUUUAUAAAAGUCAGACACAAUUGUCAAAUUUAUAUAUCAAGAACAUAGUUUUCUUUAUAAGUAGACCAUAAUACAAUUUCGUUGUUAUCCACUUUUGUAAAAUAUGAAAUGUAUAUAUCAAAGAUUUGUUUUUUUUUUAAUUGUCGCUAAUUGUGCGUUUUUGUUCCUUUCAAAUUUGGAUUAUAUAUUUAUUUUCUAUAUAUAUAUAUAUAUAUAUAUAUCUUAUGUAUAUAAAAAAUUUAUUUUUGAUAGAGAAAUGAACUUCUUUGUAUUCUAAUAGAUGGCUCUUUUGUGAAAGAAAAGUCUAUAAUUCUUUAUUUAUACUCUUUCUUUAUUUAAUAUGAUGAGUCAUGCAAGUUUGCUUUUCAUAAAAUUGAAAUCGAUUUUUUCUUAAAUUUGAAGUAAAGAAAUUGUUAUAAGAUAGAAAUAAAGAAAGGGGAAAAGGAGAUUUCACAUUAUCUAGAAAAUAAAAGGGAAUUUUAAAAAUUAAUUAAAAAAUUUGGGAAUUAUAUGAAAAAAAUAGAAGACAAAGUAAGCAUGGCCAUGGGUCCGAUGGCUACGUAUUUACCGAAAACGAAGAAUCCCACUAAGGGAAGUGAAGGGUUAAGAGAUGGUCCACGUUUCCUACUAAAACAUUUUCCUAUCCAUUUGGAUCACCCACGAGCCCACCUUGAAACCAACCCGACCCGAUUCGACCCAACCAAGAAUUGCCUACUUUGGCUGCUCUCGAUAAUACUAACAGGAACUUGUCCAAUUCCGUUAGGGUUUGGUUAUGAUGACGGACCCAAGAAAUAUCGGAUUUUUCUGAUCCUAGUAAACAAUAAAGAUGGUCCAGUCCGACAAAUAGCAUUGGUGAUGUUUUUUGCUGACAAUUACCGAACACUAAUAAUAAAACUGCUUUUGUUUUCUACAUAAAUUUUAUAUAUAUAAGAAGAAGAAAGCUCUCCAUGUUAUGAUACUUGAGCAUCCAAAAUGAAGAUAGACAUAAACAAUCAAAAUUUGUCUAAUGAAAACUUAUUAUUAUUUUUUUUUUCAUCUGAAAACUUAUUAUUUUUCUCCAAAAUUUGAAGUCUAUUCAUCUUCCUUUUUUUUCUUCUAAAGAAACGUUACAUGUGUUUUUUUACAGAAAUAUCUAGCUAAUAGAUUACAUAGUACUAUUUAAUAUUUAUAUACCAUUUAAUAAUCUUAUAAAAAAUCUUUGAAUAAAGUAGUUAAAUAAUUUGGUAAAGUAUAUAUUUACAUGAUCACAUCUAUAAAUACACAAAUCACGUAUAAGUAUACUCCCUCUAUUUCACAAAGAGUGUCAUUCUACCAUUUUUCACACAAAUUAAGAAAACUAAACAAAUGUAAUUUUUACCCCAUAUUAAUACACUAGAUAAUACCUUUUAUAUAAUUAAUAAGCUGAAAUAGUAGGGAUAAAAAGAGAAUUAAUCUUAAAAACUUCACUGAAAACGUAAAACGACACUCUUUGUGAAACAAAUUAAAACCUUAAAACGACACUCUUUGUGAAACGGAGGGAGUAUUUGGAAUUUCAAAUUUUGUCACAACAUCAUUAACUAAAUGUUUGGCACGAAAAUUUGUACCGAACCGCAAUAUACCACAUAUGUAAACAAUGUUUCCCAAAAUUGGUUCUUUAAUUUUGAGCUAAUCAAUUAAAGUUGUUGACAAAAAAAAUUAUAACUAAAUGAACUACAUAAGCCAUUAAUAAUAAUUAUGAACUACAGAAGAUAUAUAAUUAGGGAAAAAUAAUGAUCAAAUGAACUGAAUUAUAUAGAAUGCUCAUGAAUUGGUAUUUUUAGAAUUGAAACACAAUGAAAGUUAUAUUCUUUUUCGAAAUAAUUAUGUUUUUAAUUAUACAACAGAAGAGAAUAUAAGGCGGAUUAGGCUUCGGUGACUUAUUAUCAUUCAGAAUUUUUUUUCUUUUUUGUUAAAAUCUUUUAUCAUUUUGAGUAAGCUCUCUUAGCUAAUCAAGUUUGGAAGCUACAUCAUAGACCAACUAGUUUCGUAUACAGAGAUCUACACGGACACUACUUCUCACGAGGGACGUUGUUAACGGCUAAAGAAGGAUCAUAAGUCACAACCAUCUUAUGGUUGGACCUCCCUUCUAGGAGGUCGUGGUGUGCUACUUACUGUGGCUCAAUGUUAUAUAGGCAAUGGUAGAAGCAUCAGAUUGGGUCAGGAUACAUGGCUCCCGACAAUGCUAUAGACUACCUCCACUUAAUGUUGAUCCGAACUUACCACUUUCAAGUUCUACUCCACACAAGUACGGAACUCUGGAAAGAGGAUAUGCAUGCAAAUCUAUGUCUCAAAUGAACAUAAUGAGGAAUCUUUUUCUCUCAUACUAUAUGUGAAUUUGGAGAGUUUCAGAAUAUAUUUAAAUCCAUAAUCAGAUUAUAAUUUACACUCACCGAAUCCAUGAUAAGAUGUCGGAGAAACAAUCGAUACUUGGCAAAUAGAUUAUUAUUCACAUAAAAGAGAGACAAAAAAAUAUUGAAAAGAAUUUCAGAAUCCAUGUAAUUUUACAUCAUAUUUUCUGGACAAAUGUGUUAAGUUAUUGCUUUUUCUAUGUGAGAGUCACUAAGAAAGUGUUUACCUCUAGUCUAAGAUUCUGAGUUACACAUGGAAUUGUAUGAAAUUGGACAUCAAGAGAAUGAGUUACUAAAGUGAAUUCCUCCAAGUCAAUUGAAUAAACAGCCAAUUCAAGAGAUUAUAUACAUACAAUGAUGGUGAUAAAAUCUUUAUUGAAAAGAAGCUCAAUUAUAUAUCUAUACAUGAAGUUCUUAUGAAUUUGUUUGCAUAAUGUACUUCUAUAGGAGAAUUUUUAUACAAUACUGUCUUUAACCACCUCCAUUAUCAGAUCACAAGUUCCACUCUAAGAAUCCAUUGAAUUAUAUACCUGAGAAAUGUGAUAUCAAGAGAAAAUUGCUUAAACUAAGUUUCUGGUCAAUGUAUGUAGAUAAUUCUGUUCUGUAGGAGAGUUUUUGUAUCAAAAUAUGUGUUUAACAGAUUUUCAAAUGAUUCAUACUUUUUUUAUAUCCAAUAUUGAUGAAGAGUUACUCUGAUAAUCUUAAAAGUAGGUUAUGUAAUGUGGGAACAUGUUAAGAAAGAAAUAUUGAUCUCUUUAUUCCUUAACCAGCGCAUAGUACAAUAUUCAUGGAGAGAAGACUAGAACACAAUUUCUAGCUUCAGCUCUCAUCAAUCUCACAUGCGAGAUUUUGUACAAUCAAUUGCAUAAUAUAUCCUCUCUAAAAAAUGAGAGAUCCUAUCUAUACUACAACUGUAAAAAAUUUUGUUCAAAGUAAUUCGUAAUUAGUCAAUUUUACAUCCAUCAAUUUAAAUAUAUCUCUUAACGUAUAAGACAUACAUAAUAAAGAAUAUCAAUGCUAAACAAGCUCGCUGGAAAAGAUAAGAACACUACUAUAUAAAGUAUAACCCAAAGAUGAUAUAUGGAUUUAGCUAGACGUGAUUCUCCUCAAAGCUAGGGUAGAAUUUCUCGGAAGCCAUGUUUAAUGGAACAAUCCUAUUUCUUAUGAGAUAUGUUUUUCAAGUUUCCGUGCACAUUAUUUGGAGAGAACGAAACAAGAAACGACAUGGCAAACAACCCACCUUACCGACAAUACUUAACCAAGUCAUCGACCACAUAGCUCGAAAACAAAUAUCAUCUCUUCUCGACUUGAGCUCUAACAAAUUCGAGGACGGACUUCGUAUAAUUUGGUUUGGCUCUAGAAAUUCUCAGGGAAUCUUUCUAAAAAAGGUUACAUUCAAUGUAAAAAUGGUUUUUUUUUAGUGAAUAAAAUUUACAUUCAUAUAAAAAAAAGAAUUUUUUAUGUGCUUAUUUUAUAAAAUUCUUCUCAGUAUCACAAGACUUCAAAAAAACAUUGUCAAUUCAUACAAAAAUUUCUUUGAAAAUUUUGAUAGGAUCAAUUUCCUACCACUUUUCUACAAGGUUGUCACAGAAUAAUUAUUUCGUAGAAAAAUGGAAAGAAAGUUUUAGAGAAAAAAGUCAUAGAAAAUUUUCUACGAAACUCAUACAAAAUAUAUAGCCGUAGGAAAUUUCGUAAAAAAUUGGAAGAAAAGUCAUGGGAAAGGCAGUGGUAGAAAAUUUGAAGGAGCAACUUCUUUCCAAAUUCAUACGAAACGUUUCUCGUAAGAUUUCGAAUAAAUCUAGUAGGAAAUUCGAAGAAAAAUCAUGGGAAAAAGCCGUGGUAGGAAAUUCGAAGGAGCACCUCCUUCCAAAUUCCUAGGAAAAGUUUUUCGGAGGAUUUCGAAGAAAUCUCAUAUGGAAUUGGAAAUGGUCAUGGGAAAAGACAUGGUAGGAAAUUCGUAGAAGAAAGUUCAUUCCAAUUUCCUAUGAACUGCCUCUCAUAGUAUUUUUGAAGGAAUGUGGUAGGAACAUUAUACCAACAAAUUUUGUCGUAGGAAAUUUCCUACGACAAAAUUUGUUGGACAUUUAUAAACAUGUGAAAAAAUGAUUGUCUGCCAAAUAGGUGGAUAUGGGUAGGUUGGUGUAAUAGUAUAUAUUUUCAAAGGAAAUAGGUAGGUAAUCUAUAGAAAAUUGAAACUCUUUUUCUUAAUAUAAACUCCAUUCACAUUCGUUAAAAUUACAACAAAAACAAAAAUAUCAUCUACAACAAAACAAUUUUCAUUCCAAAAAAACUAAAAAACAUUUCAUACAACAAAAAACACAGAAUUAAUUUCUAUAAAAAAAAAUACCAAAAAUAUUCUAUAUGCUCGAAUAAAAAAAAGCAUCUUUUUCGGACAUGGAUAGACUAGGAAAGAUUUGCAUCUAACGUGUUAUUUACGACCAAGUAUACGGCAUGCCUCACCGAAUUCAUUACCCUCACAAUGAUCAGGAGUCUUGCUUAAAAAGUGGUAGGAUGUUUUUUCCUUAUCUAAUAUAUGAUAAUAAUGCAUUUGUCAAUAAAACUUUAGUGUGGUCACAUUUAUAUAGAGACGGAAUUAUGCAGAGAUACAAAAUCUGGUGUUAUCACUGGGAAAGUGAUACAUACCAUGUGGGUACUACUAGCGAAAAUGUCCCAGAUAGGGUAGAAGAAUCUACAUUCGCAGAAGAGGCGGUAGGUACGGUUCAAAUGGUACACAAUUUCCUAAAUGCAUCGUGAACCAUUUGAACCGUACCUACCUCUUCUUCUGCGAAUGUAAAUUCUUCUACUCUAUCUGGGAUAUUUCCACUCGUACUACCCACGUUGUAUGUAUCACUUUCCCCGUGAUAACACCAGAUUUGUAACUCGACAUAAUUUUGUCUCUCUAUUUGACCACACUACAACCUUAUCGCUAAAUGCAUCACUAUCACAUAUUAGACAAGGACAAAACAUCUUCCCAUUUUUUAAGCAAGACUCCUGAUUCAUUGUGAGGGUCAUGGAUUCAGUGAGGCUUGAUGCAUACUCUGUCUUCAGCAACACGUUAGAUGCAAAUCUCUCAUUUUCUAUCCAUGUCCGAAAACGAUGCAUUUUUUAUUUAACAAUAUAGAAUAUUUUUAAUAUUUUUGAUAUGAAUUAUUUUUGUGUUUUUGUUGUAUAAUUUUUUUUGUUUCUUUUUGGAAUGAAAUUUUUUUGGGUUUUUCUUUCUGUAGAUGAUGUUUUUUUUUUGUUAGAAUUUUAUCAAAUGUGAAUGGAGUAUAUAUAUCAAAUUUUAUACAGUUUGCCUACCUAUUUUCUAUGAAUAUAUAUAUAUAUAUAUACUAUUACACCAACCUACCAAUAUCCACCUACGUGCGCGACAAUCGUUUUUUCACAUGUUUAUAAAUUCUACGACAUAUUUGUAGAUAAAGUUCCUACCGUAUUCCUUCAAAAAUGCUACGAGAAACUAUUCGUAGGAAAUUGGAAGGAACUAUCUCCUACGAAUUCCCUACCAUGGCUUUUCCCAUGACUUUCCUUCCAAUUUCCUAUGAGAUUUCUACGAAUUUCCUACGAAAUUUCUUCAAAUUUCCUACCACGUUUUUUUCCUAUGGCUUUCAUUCUAAUUUCCUACUAGAUUUCUUCAAAAUCCUACAAGAAACUUUUCGUAGAAAUUUGGAAGGAAGUUUUUCAUUCGAAUUACCUACCACUGCUUUUCUCAUAACUCUCCUUCCAAUUUCCUACGAGAUGCUCUACGGCUAUAUAUUUUGUAAGAUUUUCGUAGGAAUUUUCCUAUGACUUUUUUGACGACUUAUUUCGUAGAAAAUUUACUUCCAUUUUCCUACAAAAUAAUUAUUCCGUGACAACCUGGUAGAAUUGUAGAAAUUGAUAUAUCCUACCAAAGAUUUCCUACGAAUUUGACAAUGUUUUUUUUUGUAGUAACGUAUCUUGUUUAAUUGUGUAGUGUUCUAGAUAUUCAAAUGGGUUUCUCACUGAAAAAACCAACUAUGAUGACCCGAAAGAUGAUUAUCGGGGCUGUUCUAGACGUUGCAACAUACGAGAGUGUGGUUAAGGACGAUGGGGUUAAUCCCAUGACAGUGACAAUGCUACCAUUCGGCGUUGUCUUACAUCCCGCAAAUGAGAAACGCUUCACUUUGUCGGUUGGUUAUCAAUUCGAGACAGACAAGGUUAACGCCGAUGAAGCGAAGAAAAUGAUUUCUCAAACUUUGAGAAACCUUACCAAUGCUCUCCCUCGGGCUGAAAAGUGCCAAUAGAUGUUUAUCCUCGCUCCACGGGAUAGUUGACUCUUUGCUUUGGGCAAUGCAGUGCCUAAUAUCACUAAGUGAAUUGAGGGUCACCUUUGCAUUUGAUUGCUUUGAUAUUAUCUCGAUGAUUGACAACUAUGCAGAGUGGCCAAGCUUUGCAGUGGAGAUGGCCAUUUUUCAAUUUUUUUCUUAUCUCUGUUAGAUUUAUUCCUCGUUGUAACAAUGUUCGGACUGAUUGUUUAGCCAAGAAGAUGCACGUUUGUGGUACUCUCUUUUUCCACGUACGCUCAUCGGUUUCUAAAUGAUUCUCUCUAAAGAAGAAUCUCUUUUCAAUAACUUAAUAAAAUUGGUGUGUGGUAAAAAUAAAAAUUUACGCUGUGUUUCUGUUAAAAAAUAGGUGAUCCAAAGUUGUCUCAAAAAACAUUCUCAUACAUCAGUUCGUUCAAACAACACAAAAUCAUCAUUUAUAAUUAGUUGGAGUGGAUAUAAACAGCUAAAUGCCUCAAUCUAAACCGGAUUCUCUAAAUCUCAACGGGCUCAAGGCAUCUCCUUUUAGAAAGCUUAUUGAUCUUACCAGCCAAUUAUAGAUUCUUUGAUAUAUGCUUUCAUCUUCUCGAAUAUGUUUAUUACCAAAAAAAAAAUUGUAUAAAAUCAAAUAAUAUUAAAAAUUUGUAAAACUUAUAUGAACUUCAACGAGGUUAAGAAGAUGUUUCAAGGUUUACCAAAAAUUAUAUAAAAUCAAAUAGUAUUACAAAUUAAUCAAAAUUAUCACCAAAUUAGUUGAUAUUUACAAAAAUAUCUCUAUAGUUUGGGUCUUUUUGGCCCAAACAGUUUACCUGAUAGUCCAGUAACAGGUGAUCUGGCUAUCCCGUGACAUUAGUCGGAAAGCAUUCCAAAUUCGGAACAGACAGUGUGUGGUGGCCCUUCAGAGAGUAGUCUACUCUGAAGCACUUCGGUGUUUUUCUACUGUAGUUGACCGGAUCAGCCGAUAUGGUUUAUAAAUAAAAAAAAAUGCUAUAAACUUUUUAAAAGUUAUUGAAUUUGAAUUUAUUUUUUUUAAAUCUAUUUGUCGUUUAAUCAUGAAAAAAAAAAGAAUAGGAAAAUUAAACGCGUAAGAUCUAGUCAAUGUGGUCAUGGGAUGGGUCACCUAAUCAAAUCUUUUUCUCCCUAAAAAAAGAAGUAAAAAAAUUUCUCUCAAUUUCCUCGAAGAAGAAGAAGAACAUUAACAAACUUAAAAAAAAAAUGUCAAAUUGUCAAAAACUAAUAAACCAAUCAAAUUCCUCCAUUUUUUCCCUCUUUUCUUUUUCUUCUUCCUCCCAAUCAACUCUUCAGAUUCCAGGAAAGAGAGAAAGAAAGAUUCAAUCUUUAUUAGCCGGAGAUGAUGAAUUCGCCGAACUGGGAACUCCGUGGUUGUUGUAACCGGAAUCAAAAUACUUUCCUUAUCACCAUCGGAAUCUUCACCGUCGUUAUCCUUCUGGUAAGUUUUUUCUAAUGUCCGACUAUAAAGUUUGAAACUUUAUUUGUUAUCUUCGAUUUUGAAUGGGUUUUUGUAAAAUUUAGUCAAAAGGGUUUCCGAUUCACUUAUAAUUUCAACGAAAUUUUGCGAAUUUUGCGAUUGAAGUAUCAAAGUUUUUGUUUUUAUGAUCUGGGUUUUUGGUUGUGACAGCUAUGGAGGACAUUUCUAUUGACUCCAUUUAAACUCAUUACGGUGUUUUUGCAUGAAGCAAGUCAUGCCGUUGCUUGCAAGCUUACAUGUGGAGAUGUAAGGAGCUUUCUCACUUCAACUAUUAGUCUUCAAUGAACUUAAAAGGGUAUAAAGUUGGUUUUAGGUCACUUGAACCCUUGAUUUAGUUUGCAAACAUGAAUUGUCUCCUUCCAUUUUGUUUGAAAGAGCAGAGAAGAUAUUCUGGUUUCCUUAGAUAGAAAGGUUUUUACUUCAGCAAUAUGUCACUGCAUUCUCUCUGGACAUGAUUGUUAGUAGAGCCAUAGAUAAGAGGUUGCGGUAUCCGUAUUUGUCUUGCUAUCUGUUAUAUUCCUUACUUUAUUAGAUUUGUAUACGAUUCUCGCUUGCUUCCAUUGUUAAUGUGUAAACUACUAGCUUCUGUCAUUAUUUAUGAACACACACUGAGUUUACUUGAACAAGUGCAGCUGCUCAAGCUUUAGCUGUAGGUCUACUAUAACUUGCCUAGGACUGAAUGUAACACAUUAUAGCUCUUAAGAAAUGGUUAGAAAGCUUUUAGUGAGGGCUGGUUUAUAAAGAUGUCCCCGGAGAUUGUUAGGGUGUAGAUUCAAUGGCGAUUUUGGUUCUGUGAGAAUAGGAGUGUACAGCUUCAGCUCUUAGUCUUACUAUACUUCUGAUUGUGUUUCUUCUAGAUUGAUUGAUGCAUAUGACAAUAUGCAAGUAUUGCAGAGACAAUGUGAGAUCCACAAUUUUUUCAUUGCAAGUACUGUGUGUAUGAAACUUAUCUACCAUCUUCUCUCUAUGAAUCUUUAAGUUUUAUACCCUCAUAACAUUUAUCUUGAAUAGGCUGUGUAUAGUUUGCACAUAAACCACCAAAUGUGUGCACCAUCUCUCUGUGAUUCUGCAACUAACAGUCACAUAUAAUGUGGAUAAUGUGUUCCUACUAACAAAAUGUCACUCAUUUUGGUUAAUUAACUUCUUAUUGAAUCAAAAGGUAGAGGGGAUGGAGGUGAAUGCAAAUGAAGGGGGUUCGACAACAACACGUGGUGGCAUUUAUUGGCUGAUCUUACCUGCUGGCUGUAAUGCACAAUCUAUCUAUAUAUCUUACUUAUACAAAUCCAUUAUUUUUCGAAUUUAGUCUUAGCCUUUUUGUUGUUGAAUUGGUUAUAGAUCUUGGCUCAUCAUUUUGGGGAAUGGCAUUGAUUCUUGCAUCUACCAAUCUGCUGACAGCAAGAAUAGCUGCUGCUGGUCUGGGUCUUGCUUUAUUCAUCGUCCUAUUCAUUGCCAAAAAUGUAAGAAGAAGUCAUUAUUUCUCUUAUCUAACAAAGUUUUAUUUCAUUAACAUCAAAUACUGAGAUCUUCAAUUUUGACAGUGGACUCUUCGAGGUCUUUGUAUAGGUGUGUUGUCUCACGAAUCCUCUUGUUACAUUUUCUUAGUAAGCACCCACCCAAAAGCCUUACAUAGUUAUAUAAAUAUCAGGUUUCAUAGUUUUCCUCGCUAUCAUCUGGGUUCUACAAGAGUUAACUACAGUCAAAAUUCUCCGUUAUGUCAUUCUGUUCAUUGGUAAGAUACCAUUAAACUCUUCUCCUUCUUGUUAACAUCAUUCAGCCUCAUUUAGCCUAUAUAAAAUUGGGAUUCACAAUGUUACAGGUGUGAUGAAUAGCUUAUUCUCAGUUUACGGUAUGUAAUUCCUUCGUCCCAUUUACUUCACUUAAAAGUUAUGACUUAUGACCAAUAAUAAUGUGGCUGCGAUGUAUGGAUAUUAGAUAUCUAUGAUGAUUUGAUAUCUCGGAGGGUCCAUUCGAGCGACGCUGAGAAGUUUGCAGAGAUCUGUCCUUGCUGUACCGGUUGUGGCUGGGGUGUCAUCUGGUUAGAUUUAAAUACAACUCUCAGUUAUCAGAUUCUGAAAGUGAAAAUGAAAUCCUUAUUCUAACACUUUGUUUCCAUUUCAGGGGAAUGAUUUCAUUUGCGUUUCUUUGCGCGUCGCUCUAUCUCGGCCUAGUGAUCCUAUCAUAAAAGGGUACUCUUGUAUGAAUUUGUUGGUGUCUCUCAGGUUCAAAUUCUUCCCAGUGAAAUGCAGAGACAAUAGUUUGAUAAAAGCUUGAUUCUUUAAAUCCCUUGGUGUGCUUGGGAUUUACAUUGUUGAUUGAAUGUAUUUUUUUUUUUUAGAUUUUGGAGUGUGUUGAAUAGAAUUCAUUGACAAUUUGAUUUGGUCUGUUUAUUGCAUUAAAAGUUCGUUGACUUCUUUAACCCAAAAAAGUCCGUUGACUUCUUCAACAACAAAAAGAAAAAGAAGUCGGUUGACUUUCUAUAAGCUUCUAUUUUUGAACCUUGAAAUUGUUAAAAGCAUUAUUUUAAUUAUUUAUUUAGUUCCUAUUAUUUCUUGUAAGUGAAAUAGAAUGUUUUGAAGAUAAUUGUCGUAACGGAAAUUCCUAAGUUAUAAAGAGAAUACAACGAAAAAGUCUUUCAACUUUGAUCAAGUCCAUUUUAAUUCAUCCAUCUACACGAAACGAAUUUGUUAAAACCAAAACGUUGAGGACUUGAGGUGAUUUUUUCACUUAAUACACCAAAAUUGAGAAAAUUGUUUUUUACUUUUUACCUAUGUUGCAUGGAAACGAAAACGGAAACGUGGAAGCGAAACGUUUCGGAAACGGGAAACGAUUUUUUUCUAAAAUUAGGGAUUGGAAACGUUUUGGAAACGUGUACACAUAUAUAAUAUAUGUAUAUAUAUAAUAUUAGCAUAAAACUAUAAAAAUGGUUUAAUUAAACAAUAAAGUCUAAAACAUCAAAUAUUAAAUAGGUUAACUAAAAUUCUAAAAGAAAAAAGAUUAAAAGGUUCAAGUUCAAAUAUUUAAUUUAGACAAACAUUUUCAUUUUCAUUUUCAUUAGUUUCAUCGUAGAAUCAUAUAAAGAUGCCUCUAAAUCUAGUUUGUCGAUAAAAAGAUCUUAAAACUCAGAGUCUUCCAAAAUUAGUUAUAUGUAUUAUAAAUUUUAAUCUUUUCAACUUUUAUUUAUUAAGUUUCCAAAGUCAAUAAAAAAAUAUUUGUCGCGUUUCCAUUUUAGAAACGUGAGUUUCCAAACAUAGAUUUUUAGGAAACACGUUUACAUGACGUUUUUCGUGUUUCCGAAUAGUUUCCGUUUCCGAAACGUUUCGGAAACGGGAAACGGAUCUCGAAGAGAAUUUCCAUGCAACAUAGCUUUUUACUAAAAAUAGUUAGACAAAAUUUGAAGGCUUAUUACGGAAUAUCAUUUUCCCACGUUUCAAUGAACAACCUAACAACUGUAAAUGGUGCUUAGAAGGUUUUUUGGUAGUUCAUAUCAAGUUUGUCAUGUCCUUUAAUUUUUUGUUUUUUCUGGUUAAAAUGUUUAAUACCAUGUACAACACAAUAUGGCUUUAGUAGGAGGGGUCGAAUAUCGAAAUAUCAUUCAAUUUUCUUUGGUGGUUUUUUCAAGAAUUAUGCAAAUAAAGUUGUAGGAUAUCUAACUAGUCCAGGUUUGAUCCACGUUGGAAACAAAAAACACAUCUGUGUGGAAAGUCUGGGUUUGGGCCAAAAGUUUACUUGGUAGUCCAGUAACACGCGAUUUGGCUACCUCCUGAUAUUAGUCGGAAAACAUUUCAAACUCAGGACAGGCAGUGUGGUAGCCUUUUGGGGAGAAGUCCACUCUGAAGCACUUCGGUGUGUUUCUACCGGGACUGACCGAAUCAACCGAUAGAGUUUAUCAAAAAAAAUCUAACUAUUUUCUCGAUGGAGAUAUAACUAAUUUGACCGAAUACUAUAGAAUAUGUUCUUCUCCAUAAUAUGUUGGAGUUGGAGAUAUGCCAUAAAAGAUGUUGACACAUUAGGAACAAGAACCGGGUUCAAUAAGUUGAGGAAUACCGAAUACCAAACCGAACACCAACUUGGAGUCGUGGAGAAGAAGAUGACGUAAAGGUUAGAUGUGGAGCAUAACGAACUCCAUGUCACCGCCUAAUUACUUUUUCAACCAUUGACGAAGUCUUCUAACAGUAACCCUUCAUUCUUCAUAUGAUCCCUACUCCACCGUCACAUGAGAUUAGAAUUCUAUAAUUUAGGUUUAUGGCUAUUUUAUGACAUAGACGAAUUCAAUAUCUAAAAAAACACAAUUUAACCUAGCUAUUACAUAUGAUGUCGUCAUGCAUGAUAAUUGCCAACUAGUGGACGGAAGUUUGUAAAAGCUUGCAUCCACGAUUUAAAAUAUUGUUUGCAUGUUGUAUAAUUGAACACGUGAUAUAAAAAUUCUAAAUCUUUCGAUAUCAUUGGGGAAAUAUACUUUUUUGGAAGUUUCCCAUCGUGGAAAGCUCUUACCCUCUGCUAGGGUAAAAUUUCUUACUACUUAUAUUUCUUUAUGCGGAAGCCGGAAGCUAUCUUAUAAAAAAUCGGUCCAUUGACCAUUAAAUGGCCCAUUUCUGGAGUAUAUGCCCGUUCGUUCAUGUAUGAUGGAAAAAUUGGAAUCACACAUUUGCUCGAUAAUAGGAGCGAUUAUGGUGGUUUAGGCCAAACACAUGGACCAAACAUCAGAUUGCGUUUUUUUUCCACUAAGCCAAAACAAAAAAAACAAAAAAUAGUUUUGCUGUGUAAACACAACACACGAACAAAGGUUUUGGCAACCAUUAUCGGUCAUGUCGUAGUGAAAACCAUCCAUAUUGAAAAAUUCAUUCGAUAAAAUCUAUAUUUUGUACAUAUUUUUAUAGUUUUAGAUUUAUAUUCAAGAAUUGUUUUAUAUCCUUUUUUAUGUAUUAUUAUUAUGAAGCAUAUUAUCUUUUAUCACAUAACAAAAUAAUUUUAAAAAAAAAAUCCAUUUUAAAAAAAUUCCCAAAGCAUGCUUUCAUGUGUAAUAAUAAAUAUUAAAAAUGAAGAAUAAAUUAAGAUUUUGGUUUUGAAUUCAAUAAUUUCGUUUGUAACUAUACUAUUUUUAGUUUUGAUAUCCGGAUUUCGCAAAAAUAACACUUUCUAUCAAACUACAUUAAUAUGAUAUAUUAUAUAUUUUAUUGGGGUUUAUAGAUAAAGUUUAAAAUUUUAAAUCUGCAUAUGGAGCGGUUAUAUUUGCGUAUAUUAUAUUUUCUGUAAUCGAAGAAAAAUGAGGCUUCAUAUACAGUUGGAUUGCUAUUAAUGUUAUUUCUUUAUCAAACCAAGCAAGUGAUAACAAAAAUAAAAAAAGGUAUUAAUGUUGAAUUGUAAAUAAAGGAAGAAAUUUAAAUUAUGUCAUUUCAGAAGAGGAAGUAUGUCACAUGUAAAUAGAUCAUUGAUACUUUUCAAGAGAACUUCCACAAGAAAGCCAUUGACUUCUACCUUUCUAAAUUUCCAGCUUGACCCAUUUAUUUCUCAUGAAGUUAUAAGAACUUUACGUACUAGAUAUUUAAUAUGUUUACAAUAUUCAGGAAUUUAAAAAUAUGGUAGUAUCAACUAAUGUUGAAAUCAUUUGAUUUGACUUUUUAUUACCAAAAUUCAUGUAAUUUCUUUUAGUUCUUACCAAAAUAUUUAUGUGGUAUGCUAAUAUUCGUUUUUUAUUCUGAGAAAAUUUAACCCCAACCAAAAUAUUGAGUGGCAAGCAAUGUUCAACUAAUAUAUGAUAAGGAGAACAAAAGUUAUGGCAAGUUUGGAAAAAAAAAUCAAUUUAUUAGCAUAUUUUUGACUCAUGCGCAUCUCAAACUUUUUUCUUGAUCCUUCUUCCUUAUCUUAUCUUUUCUCAAAUUCUAUAUUUCCAAAAUAAAACACGCAAUUUCUAUUAUAAUUAUACAAUAAAAAACUCAAAUUAUCUUCCAAAAAUGUCUUUACCACUAUUUUUCAGAUUUCUCCUCCACGUCUACUGAUUGUCAUAGAUAUGUUUUAAAGAUGAGGCAUUAAUUCUCUUCUUGUUCACACGUAAGUAUAUACUUUUCAUAAUAAAAAAUUGUUUUUUUGUUAAUUCAUACUUUUCAUAAUUUAAUUCAAGGAAUUCUCGUGAACCGAUUUCUAAAAACAUUUACAAAAUUAGUUAAUUAAUGCAUAUCUUUAUUUCUACAUAAAGAAACACAUACAAUAUUUACUAUAUUGCUUCUAUAUUAAUAUUCUUCUUUCCAUAUAUAAAUGAUUGAAUUUUAACCCUCUUACAAGGAAUAUAUUUCAUUUACAUUAUAUAUAGAUUACAAGAAAAGCCCAUCAAUCUAUUAUUCUCUGAUUCAGCGAAGAAAAUAAAUAAAUAAACGGCCAAAAAAUGGGAGCAGACGCAAUCCAAACGAACGGUCACGAUCAAACCAAGUUAACCGGCGGUGAAGAGAUCCAACGGCUGAGAUGUUUCGUGAAGAACUACGAAUGGGGCAAACUCGGACCAGACUCAUUGGUGGCGAGACUCCAAGAGGCUAAUACAGGACAAAGAGUCGACCCGGAGAUUCCUCACGCCGAGUUUUGGAUGGGGACUCAUGAGUCUGGACCGAGUCAUGUUGAAUUCGGGUCGUUGGGUCAUGGUGGGUCUGAUAAAUGUAUGGUUACAUUGAAGUCGUGGGUUUUGGAUAAUCCGGAUUUACUCGGGUCUAAAGUCGUGGACAAGUGGGGUUGUGAUCUUCCUUUCCUCUUCAAGGUAAUGGUUAAUUUCUCUGUUUUUUUUGCUCUGUUUUGAAGAUGUUGCAUUUGACUCUGUUUUUCUUAUUAAUAAAUUGGAUUUUUGUGUGUUUUUAAAAGUUAAAAUAUACAGGUUUGGGUAUUAUCUUAUUAUAUAAACACGUAUAUAUCUACCAAUCAAAAUAUACAUUUUCAGAGUCUGUUUUAUGGUCAAUUUCUCUGUUUUCUUUCCUCUGUUUUGAAGAUGUUACAUUUGACUCUGUUUUUUUUUGUUAAAAAUUUGUUUUUUUUUAAAGUUAAAGCAUAGUUUUGAAUCUAAUGAUAAUUUUUUUGGUAUUGAAUUGUGAAAAUCAUUGUCACAUCUAAAAAAUUUCUGUUUUUUUUUUUUUUUUUUUUGUUCUGUUUUGAAGAUGUUCACAUUUGACUCUGUUUUUCAAAUAAAAGAUUUGGGGGUUUUUUGCGUGUUUUUAAGAGUUUAAAGCAUAUAGAUUUGAAUUUAAAGAGAAGUGUUUUGGUGUUGAAAUGUGAAAAUUUUAGGUGUUGUCAGUGACGAAAGCAUUGUCGAUUCAAGCACAUCCAAAUAAAGCUUUAGCAGAGAAAUUGCAUAGAGAAGAUCCUCUUCUUUACAGAGACAAUAACCACAAGCCUGAGAUUGCUCUUGCUGUUACUCCUUUUCAAGCCCUUUGUGGUUUCGUACCUCUUAAGGUACACAAUUUCAGAUCUUUCUCUCUGUCUAUCAUUCUUUGCAAAAAUUUAGGUCAGUUUUUGGUUCAGAUCAACCGAAAUUACACAAGGGUUUAAGUUCUUUAUAGAUCCGGUUUGAUCGAAAGAAACCGGUUUGAUCGAAAGAAACCGGUUUGAUUGUUUUGUUUUAUUGUUCAAUCGUGAUCAACCGAUUGGAUCUAAAACCAAAAUCGCAUAGAAGUAUCAAAUUAGGUUUAAUAUUGAUUAUUGUAGUACAAAAACCGAAAAAUCUUGAUAGCUAAACAUCUUGGUUGUUACUUGUGCUACAAGAAAAAUUGAACUGGUUUUGUGCCUAUAAUUGAAUCAGGAGUUGAAGGAGGUUAUCACCAAUGUACCAGAGAUCACAGAGCUUGUGGGAAGCAAAGCUGCAGAUCAAAUCUUCAACGUCCAUGAACACGAUGAAGACGAAAGAGUCAAAUCCGUUGUCCGGUUGAUCUUCACGCAGUUGAUGUCCGCAAGCAACAAUGAGACGAAGCAAGUGGUAUCUCGGAUGAAGAAUCGUCUGAUCUCGGAGACCAAACACCGUGAACUGUCGGAGAAAGAGAAUUUGGUUUUGGAAUUGGAGAAACAGUACUCAGGUGACAUAGGUGUGAUUUCAGCCUUUUUCUUUAACUACGUCAAGCUUAAUCGAGGAGAGGCUUUGUAUUUGGACGCAAACGACCCACACGCUUACAUUUCCGGCGACUGUGUCGAGUGUAUGGCGGCUUCAGACAACGUUGUUAGAGCUGGUCUCACUCCAAAACACCGCGAUGUUCAAACCCUUUGCUCUAUGCUUACUUACAAAUUGGUAACUUUCUUUACACGCUAACGUUUUAGUACCUUUCUUUACACGUUAAUGUUUUGGUUCAGCUGAUAAACCGAAUAUCAAAACCAAACUAGUAAUUGUUACUGUUUUCUUUGUUUGGUUUAUUGAUUAAUCGUACCGGAAUUUGUUCAGGGCUACCCGGAGAUUCUGAAAGGAUUUCCUCUAACUCCUUACGUUACAAGGUAUCUUCCUCCAUUUGAUGAGUUCGAAGUGGACCAUUGCGAUCUACCUGGUGGAAAUUCGACGGUUUUUCCGGCAGUACCGGGGCCUUCGGUUUAUUUGGUUAUUGAAGGUCAAGGGAAAUUGCAAACCGGUUCAUCUCAAUUGUUGGUUAACCGAGGAGAUGUUUUGUUUGUUCCGGCUCAUAACGAGGUUCACGUAACCGGAGAAAGUGAUGUGAUGAAGCUUUACAGAGCUGGAGUCAGCAGCAGAUUCUUCCAAACACUCUAGGCUAAAAAUUUAAGUAUAUGAUCUUUACUAAUUACUAUAUAUAUUUAUAAGCAUUCAUAGGGACCAAUUUUCCAAAUUGGUAGGAAUGUGUUGUUUAAUUCCCCGAUGGUGGCCCAUUGCAAAUUAAAAGUUCAAGGAGUUGUUAUUUUUCUAUUUUUAUUUAUAUAUAUACAUAUUUAAACGAACGAACUUUAUAUGUAAAAUAACUAAAAAAUCUUUUUAUCCAAUGUUUUUUUUUUUUGAUAAAAUCUUUUUAUCCAAUGUUUCAGAUUAGAAAAUGUUAAUGUGAUAUAUAUUAUCACGUGUAUUUGUGUUAAUUCGUGAAAUUCCAACGAAAACCUAGCAAUAAUGAAUAAAUUGGUUCAUGUUUCUUACAUAUUAUUUUAAGUGAUAUAUGUCGGCGUCAGAUUUCUUCCUCUCUUCUCUUUUUUAGUUUUUUCUUUUUCCUUUGUAUCGAUUUCUUUUAGCCGGCGGCGGCUCUUCCUUCUUUGUGGCUUAAUCAGAGACUUUUAAGUCGACGGCGAGCAGAGGUAGUUUUCUCAGAUGGAGGUUCGUUGGUGGAUCUACAAUGGGGAACUAUAACUCUCGACGACGGCAGCAGAUCUGGUGGAUUUCUUCGUCAGUCUCUUCGCGGAGGUACCUCUCCUCCGAUGAGCCUCUUUGGUGGCGGCGGCUCAGUGUUAAGAAGGGACAGAGGUAGGCGAAUCGUGGUUUUUCGAGCUUGGCUGUGAAGAUCCUAUCGAUCCCGGGCAGAUUUACAUGAUUCAAGGCUUUCUAGCUAUGCUGCCGCCAACGACUCCCGACAGAGAAUAAAUUAGAUGUAGGGGAGAUAAGAAAACCAUUUGGAUUGUAGAAGAAGAAGGAAAGCUCUCCAUUAAUGCCCCGGCUUCAAGAAAUUUUUGUCUCAGCCCGGUUAAUCCGGUUGAGUAUCAGUCGGAUUAGUAUGUCCGUUUUAGGCUUAGGACCGGAAUAGUGAAAGCCGAGGAGUCAAAACCCUUCUGAAGUUGCGCUUUUGGCGUAGAUGCUAUUAGGACACGCUCUACACUCGGAUCAUGAGGGACUAAUAGCUUGGAAUUGGUUUGGAUCUCAGGAGAGGAUUUGAUUUUCUUUGUGUUAGUAAUUGUUUUCGUGUCAUUGGGUGAAUUUAGGUGGUUUAAGAGAUGAUUUCACUUAGAGUCGUGGUGUAAUUCAUCUCGUUGUGGUUGGAAAAUACAAUGAUUUUCAGUUGGGUAGCGUUGGAUCCGUUAGUGUUUCAGGGUUUUAUUUGACUAAAUCAUUGUAUUUGAGUGAAGUUUGUCGAGGUCAAAUGAUUUGUAAUAUCGAUUUGGUGAAUGAAUAGUUGAUGUUGAGCAAAAAAAAAAAAAAAAAAAAAAAAAAAAACACAAUUUUUCGAUGCGAGGACUCUUCUAGGCUUCUAGCCUAUCAAUACUAGUAUUUUUACAGUCACUUUCGUCUUUGGUGAUGGAUGAGUAAAAAUGCUUCUGGGUUAUUUGGAUAUCCGAUCCAUUUUAAAAAAUCUUGCACAAAAAAUUUGUUGGGUCGGAGUAUAUUUAACCCAACUCAUACACCGGAUAUUCCAUAUUUAAUAAUUACAUAUUUAGAAGAUUUGAUUAAGAUUUAUAAUUAUGAUUCUCCUAUCAUCUUUGUUUGAUUUGUUUUUAACUGUUUUGAAUUAUCAUAUCUUACUAGGAUCGGACCCACGGUCCACCGCGGGAGAAUAUUGGUUUACAUACGUUGCGUUUAAUAUUGUGUGUUUUUUAGUAGAACGAAUCGUGUAGUAUACUUAUAAAUAUUCAUAAUAACGAAUUGUAGAGAAAAUGUAAAAUUGUUUAUAAAUAUACCCAUCGUAUUAAUUAUGAUUUACAAAAUAGAAUUUUGUGUUUAAAAAUUCUAAAAUUAGACGAUUCAUGAGAAUUAGAGCAGUCAAAAUAGGUCAAAAACCGCGGGUCGAGCCCACAUCAUCUCACUAUGGAGCAGAUUUGAGAAAAUAUAUUAAACCCACAAAUAAGCAGACCACAUGGAUUAAUUCGCAGUGGGUCAUAGGUUUAAUCAGUUUUCAUCCGCGGGUUGGCGGAUCAGCCCGCAUAUUAGUAUUUAUUGAUAAAAUUAUAAUUUAUUCAACAUGCGGUAAUUUAAACAAACUUUUAAUAGUAUUUUGAUUUAUUUAUUUAUUUUAGUAGUAUUUUAAAUUUUGGUUACUUUAAAAUUAUUUAAACAAAAUCCAUGGACAAUCCCGCAAAUCCGCAUACAUUCGCGGAACGGGUUUGUAUUUCAUAUAUGCUACCCGCGGGUCGUGCGGACCGACUAACUACAAGUCAAAAUAUUUUUUGUCUAUCGCAAAACGGACUUAACGGGACGAAUCAACUCGCUUUGACAGUUCUAAUGGGAAUAUUAUUUAGUCAUACAACAAAAUGAAGUUUGGACAUAGUAAUAAUAGAAUAUGUAUCUUAUUUGUUAGAUGAGAGAUUGAAAGAUGAAGUAUAAUGAUUAAAAAUUAAUUUUUUUUUCAUGAUUCACAAAUUUAAUAAAUACUUAUCAUCUUGUUGAAUAAUUCUAAAAUCAUAUUCAAGAAAUCUUUAUAAAUUGAAAAUUAAACUUUUUAGGUAAGCUAUAUGUAUGAAAAUAUCAUAAUUUUGAUUAAUCUAAUUAAAUUAAAAUUAGUUACAUGGAUUUCAUAUCUAUUUAAUUUACACGACCAAAAUAAAAAUAUCUAUUUAAUUUACAUGACCAAAAUAAAAAUAUCAAUUUAAUUUAUAAAACAGAUGGGUUAUUUGUGAUAAAUUUUCUAGAAAUCUUUAGAAGCAAGUAAAAUAUCUUUCAAUUAAUGAUAAUUGGCUAAAAUGAGCGAAAUUAACGACAAAAACGUUGAUUGUUAUGAAAUUAGUCCCAAAAAUAUAUGAACAAAUUUAUUAUACGUAAUUAAUGUAUAAUAUUGUUUGGAAUAUGCUUUUAUUAUUAGUUACCAUAAGUACAAUCAGAUUUUAUUUGAUUUCCAUAAAUAUUUGUUUUUAUUUCAAUUUUUCAUUAUUAAUUCGAAUUUAUAUUCCAAAAAAAUUUCAAAGAUCCGAUUUCAGAAUUUCGGGUCAAUUUUCUGAUUUUAACCCGACCCAUUUUCAAUUGUACUUCUCUUUUAAUAGUAUAGAGAUUAUAUAAAGUAUGGUUUUCAAAGUUAAUAACUCAUACGAUCGUAACACAUGGAAAAUCUAUCGAUCUUAAAUUUUAACACGUAUAAAACAAAAUUUCCUUUUUAAAAUAAUAAAAAAGAUAAUUGUAAAUAAUUAUAAAUUUAAAUAAUUUUAAAAAUAUAAAAUAACUAGUAUUUUUACAGUCACUUUCGUCUUUGGUGAUGGAUGAGUAAAAAUGCUUCUGGGUUAUUUGGAUAUCCGAUCCAUUUCAAAAAAUCUUUCACAAAAAAUUUGUUGGGUCGGAUUAUAUUUAACCCAACUCAUACACCGAAUAUUCCAUAUUUAAUAAUUAGAUAUUUAGAAGAUUUGAUUAAGAUUUAUAAUUAUGAUUCUCCUAUCAUCUUUGUUUGAUUUGUUUUUAACUGUUUUGAAUCAUCAUAUCUUAUUAUAUAAAGUAUAGUUUUCAAAGUUAAUAACUCAUACGAUCGUAACACGUGGAAAAUCUAUCGAUCUUAAAUUUUAACACGUAUAAAACAAAAUUUCCUUUUUAAAAUAAUAAAAAAAGAUAAUUGUAAAUAAUUAUAAAUUUAAAUAAUUUUAAAAAUAUAAAAUAUAAUGGUAAAUAAUUAAUAUUUCUAUAAACAAUUAAAAAAUGUCAAAAUAUAAUAAUAAGGAAAUUAUACGUUUUUUAUAAUUAGAAAUAUAUAUUUCAAUUAAACAAGAAAAAAUCAGGCAAAUUUAUUAAAAAGGAAACAUAUGUUAUUAUAAAACUAAUAUGUUCUAUUUCUGUUUCUCAAAGUUAGUAAUUAAUAGUAUUAUAAACCGUUAUCAGUCAAAGAUUUUAUCAUGAUUUAAUUUAAAAUUUGAUAUUAUUUAUCUCAAUUUCCUUUCCAAUUAGAAUAUAUGAUGAUUUAAUUAAACUAAUAUUCAUAUUAUUUAUUUGAGUUUAUUUUUUGAGAGAUCAAAUUUUUUUUUCUUUUUGUAAUAUUUUUUUACUUAACUGUGUUUUUUUUUCCUUAAUUAUUGUGGAUGUCGGAUUCACACACUCAAGUAUUUUUACUAAGCGGGAAAGAUUACUCUUGAGGGACAAAAAAUGAAUAUGUAAAAAGCUAUGAAUUGAUACAAAAAUUGCUAUAGUAUUUCUUGCUCGAGGAAAAGAUCCCCUUUACAUGGCCCUUGGCCAUUAUAUUUAUACAUAAAAAACAACAUUUAAGUGGCUAAUUAAGUACAAUUAUUCUUUCUUAAAUGUAUCCGUUUUGGUCUCAGAAUUUAAUGCUCAACGUUUGAAUUUGAAUUGAUUCCGACCUUCAUGGGCCUCGCCUCUCAGUCCAAAUUACCUUGAACCGACUUAACUAUGACUUCGACUCGUAUCGAGGUGCAAUCAAUUCGAACUUUCUUUGUGGUGUCACCACCUCGACCGCACCCUUAUCUUACAGACCUAAUGGGCCUUAUCCCUUGUGGGCCUUCGUCUUGACUGCGUGGCAAUCUUUGGUUGGUCCCGGACUACUAGUGCGGGAUCCGACACCAACAAUUAUGAUUGUAGUAUUUUUAGAUUGUUUAUUUCAAUUUCUCUUUUCAUAUUAAUUAUCAAAGAUUCAUAUAUCAUCGUGUUUAUAAUUUUUUAUUUUUAGUUUAACAGUUGUAACUUUAAAUUAUUUAUUUUGGUUUCUACGUUCAGUUUAAUAUAAGAUUUAUAAUAUAUCAAAAUUCUAAUGAUUUUAGAUAGCGACAAUGUCAUGAUUUAAAUUACAAUCUUAUAUUAUUUAUAUCAAUUUUAUUUUCUAAUUAGAAAUAUAUGAUGAUUUUAAGUAAAUUUUUAUAUUGUUUAUUUGAAAUUCUUGAAUAUGUAAGAACUUAUAUGCUUCUUCUUUGUUUUUGAUAUUUUGAAUUUAAUUAUACUAUUUCAAAAUUGUUUAUUUAAAUUUCUAUGUUCAUAUUUGAAUUAUAUAAGAUUCAUAUAUCAUCUCGCUUAUAAUUUUUUGAAUUUAUCAAUUUUUAUUGAUUGAUCAAUAAAGUCAUUACAAUCGAGUAUAUAAGAAUCGAACCUGAAACGUUAGCUUGGAAGACUAAGAGAUUUAGUCGAUUUAUCAUAUUUAUAUUUUUAACGUGUCUCAUUAGGAACCACUUUGGUUUCAGUCACCAACUUUAUGAUGAAUAUUUUUAAAUUUAGUUAUUCAUAUAGUAUACUAUGAGUUAUUGCUAUGUGAUAUAUCUUUCAUUCGAAAAAAUUUUGAAUUAAUAAUUUUAGUGGUUAAAGAAACAAUGCAACAGUGAAAAAGUAAAUAUUUUUUUUUACUUUUGUAAGAAAAUUUUUACUUACAACAUUGUUAAUUAAUCUUUUGUUAAAUUUGAUUUUAGUUUUUUUUUAAAAAUUAAACCCGUUCAUCGGACGGGUCCUUUUCUAGUAAUACAUAAAGUAGAAAAAAAUCAAUUUUUUUCUCCAUAACUGUUAUUCAAAAUUUAAAAAACGGACAUAUAUUAUCCAAUUGACGAAAAUGUGUGUUCAACGUUCUACAUCGAUUAAAAUAUUUAAACAAUGAUUCAGAAUCAUAUCAUAAAUAAGAUCAUUAAUAAAAUAAAUGAGUUUUUUGGCCGAACGGGUUUGGAGGGACGGAUUUUUGAAUCAACAAUAAUAAAAAGAUUAAAAUAUCAUUAAUCCGCCGCUUCAAUACAGAUUAAAUCCUUAUUUUUUAAUACUACAAAUAUUAGAUAUAUCAAAUCAGUCUCAUUUAGAAAAGAUUGUAUAAAACCAAAAUUGUCCCGUGAUAUAAUGUCGUGGUCUUAGAGGAUGAUAUGAUUUGUAAACUUUUAUAUAUAAUAAAUAAUUUUAAAAUUUUAAAAUAAAAACAAAUCACGGGACAGGUUAAGAAAUUACGGAACGGGUUAAUAUUUCGGAAAGAAUUUAUAUGGCGGACGAAUUUGAAUCAAUAUUUAUAUACCGCUUUAAUACGAGUUAAAUCCUCAGUUUAUUAAUAAUUGUCUCGUGGACUCGUGGUAUACCGUUACUUAAUAACAAUUGUAAACUAUAAUAUAAAUAAAUAUGUUAUAAGGAGAUACAAUUUACAAAAUAUUUUUAUACUAACUUUAAAAUUAAAUCAUCCGGGUUAAAAUCUAGUCUUGUUAUAUAUCAUACUAGAAUUAUCCUAUUUUGAGAUUCAUGACUAAUCAAAAAGUCAAAGCAAUCAAAUGAUAGAGUUUAUGGUUGUUCUAUAAAUUGUUUUGAGUUUCAUGAGCUUUCAUUUCAAAAAUCGAUAUAUCUACUUGUAUAGUUUUAUCUAAUCCAAAUCAAGAUAUCAGAUUAUCCUUAUGUAAUUUGAGUUGAUCUAAUCAGUAUACGAUAAAACUGAAGUGUGAUUUGCACUAUUUUGUAGUAACAACACUUUGCCUCUAUCAUUAUUUGGCGUCAAACGAUGACGUCUUAAGCUUCUUAACAUGUCUUCUUCACGUUAAAUGCAAAGUUUUGUAUACGUGCGCAGUGGUGAUGACGGCCUUCUAACGACUAUUGAAGAUCAAUAAAUAUCACAUUUAAUUACUCUCAUGACUCAUUCCAGUCCAAAUUUGAAUGGGCCUACAAAGAUUAUAUCCCAAUACAAAGUCCAAUUGACAGCAACCUCCGUCACCUGAUUCUCCAAUUCCGGUGAAAAAAUCAUCGCCGGGAAACAAUACUCGGCCAACGAUUCUUCAGUUUUUCACCAACUUUUGUAUAUACGGCUAAAGAGACAUAUAAUACAGAACAAAACAAACUCAAUCGGUUGCUAAAUCCACCAAUAAUCAUUUGGAUUCAGCAAACAAAGUCCAACAGAGAAUGAUAAGAUCUGAAAGUCCACCACCGUUUGCUUAUCGAUCAGCUUCACCAUCUUUUCUGUCGUAGUUGGCUCUUCUCCGUGCCUCCUACCAUUUUUCUCUCUCCAAAUAGAGUGGAUUGUGUUCUGGAACACAUACUUGAGUAUAAAUCCUUUGGUUUUAUCGAUGUCUUUUCCUGCAAGCAUCUUCAUGAUCUCUAGCCAUUUGUCGGAUCCUCAGUCCACUGACCAGCUCCUCCCACACCUUUCUUGAGAACGGGCAUUAAAAAAAUGAGUGAUCUCUUGUUUCCAGCGGGUCUUUGCAGAAGAUACAGCUCGUAUCCACGUUCUUGUUCCAUUUAUCAUUCUAUCCCCUGUUGCUACUCUGUUUUUCACAACUAACCAAGUCAGGAAAGCGUACUUUGGGGUAGCAUUCGCAAACCAGAUCUCAUCAGAGCCUCUCGCCUCCCGGAAACCUAGCUCUCUUCGCGGCUGCCCUUGACAACUAAACCUCCCCGAAAUCCCUCAGUACUUAGAUAAAUGCAUUUGCAGCGCUAACAAAGCUCGGGGCAACAACAGUGCUUGUGCGUCAGAUAUAUAUAUGCGACAAUGAGGAUCCACACCACAAGUCAGGCAAAUUCAAGUAAACCCCUGUAACGGAGCACUUGAUCUGCUCAAGGGCUCGUAGUAGUGUUUUCACAUCAAAUUGGAAGCUAUAACUUCUUUGAUUAGUUUUUAGUGAAAAUAAAUCUCUAGUUCAGUAAUAUAUGUGAAGAGGUUUUCGAGUUGCAAAAUUUCUGCAGAAACCUCAAGAAUUAAACUUAUUGACAAAAGAUAAAAACUUGUCUGAAGUUGUUUGGUCUCAUUGAUUCUUUCAACAACUUAAUAACCCAUAAUAACUAAUUUAACUGAAGCAAAAUCAUAAUGAACCAUCAUUCCAACAUUGAGAGACCAAGAUCACCAAUUUUACUUGCCCUGGUUGUUGAUUAAAGCUUUGGUUAGGAAAUGCGAAACGAUUCCAACCGGACAGAAGAGAAGGCAGAGCGAAACCGAAUGCCUCGUCUCGAUCUGAUUCUCUAACCCAUCAUUAUAAACUUGCCUGCAAAUAAAAACCGAAAACAUGGUUUAUAAGAAACAUGUUCGGAUAAAUUCAGAACCCAUUAAUUGAGAAGAAACAAAUCCGCAAUAUACCGUGCAGCAAAAAGAUCUAUCACAAGAAGAUGAAUCCAAGCAGAAGCAAGAGUCAUUUCACUUGAGAACAUUUUCGCUAUUCCGGACAGCUGCAGAUGAAAUAAAAACAUUAGAAACUGCAUUGAUACAUUCUUGUUUUCGAAUGUUUCGGGAUGGUUGAGGGAAAGCAAAACCUCUGGCAACAUGUAUUUACUAGAAAACAUGUAUUUGAGCGUCUCGGGUGUCCAAGAAAGGUAUAACAAAUAUGCGUAUAAUACGCCUAAGACGAUAUACGGUAUGCUACUCUCCAUACACUUCUUGGUCUGCAAAAAGCAACAUAAUACUCAAUUUAGAUCAACUUCUUUGGUUCUGCACAAAAACUGCAAUAAAACAUAAAACUUACAAUUUCAGCUUUUGGAGCUACAACCAUGAGCGUAUAAAAGGGAAGAACCGCGGUAGUUCCAACCGCAAAUACACUGCUUGCAAUCUGAGAAGUAGUUAACCCUGCAACAUGAAUAUAUAAGAGAUUCUAUCACUCAUUUAAUCUGAGAUCAAAAGUCACAAAUGAGUGACAAAGUUUUAAUCUUUAAACUUCAGUUACAAAUGCAGAGAAACACAUUACAUGAAGCUCGUACACCGGAGAAUUUCUUGCGAACUACAGAGUUAGAAUUCAACGAAACAUUGGACUGAACAGAGAUUCCUGAUCCUCCAAUGAAGCUCCAACGAUGAUCUAAUCUAAUCUUUGAAGAAUCAAGACAAAGUUCCAAUCUUUUAGCCGAAAUGUUGCGUUUCAUCAUCUGAAUUCAAGAAAGAUUCUCUUUUACUUCAUAGAAAUUCAGAAACUUUCAGACAAAAACUCACAACAAUCAAGAACAGAGAUUCUUUAACAGUGACUCAGGAGAAAUAAAGUCAACUUAGUCAAUUCGAAAACCCAUUAAAUUCUUCAAUUUGAGUCAAAAGAUAAAGACUUUUAAGGUUAUCCAUAACUAUUCAAAACAGUAGAACCUCAACACAUAUACGAAUAGUGAAAUUGAAGAAGAAGAUACCGUGAGAGAUGAAGACAAAGGCUGAGAAACGCAAGAAGAAAAAGCCAUCUCUGAUUUAAAUCUGCCAAAAAUUGAUCUUUCAUCACCUUCUUCAACAAACUCUCUGCAUAUAUAUAUAAAUUAAACACAAAGAGGAAUAAUGGUUUGAUAGAUUUCCACUGAAUUAAAAAAUAAAACGGAAGUGGAAGGAAAAAAAGUUGUCUUUCACACUCUUUCUUGCUCAGUGUCCACAAUUAUAUGCAACACUUUUUGCUCAUCCUUCCAUCUUUAAAAACUUCAAUUUCGGUUUAGUUUAUUUAAAUUACUUAGAUUUUUUGUUUAUUUAAAUUAAAAUCUAUUAUAAUAUGGCAUAAUCAGUAGAUUCAGUAUAAUUUUGGUUUAUUUCAAUCAAUGAUAUAUCUAAAUAUUAGUAUUAUUAUUAUCAUAUAAGAUUUUAGUAAAUUAAUUACACAAAAAAGUUCAAUAUAUAAGUACACAUAAAUUUUUGAAUAUAUUGAUGGAAAAUUUAAAUGUAAAUGGUUUAUUUUUGUGUGAAAGAAGUUAUAUGUUAAUGGAGAGUUGUGAUCAAAGUGAAUUUAGGUGGACAAGACACAAGUCUAGUUUCAGGACAGAAAAAGACAAUAGUUAGUGUUUCCCCCAUUAAUUCGUUUUUUUCUUUUAUUAGAUUAUAUAUUUUAAUUUGUAUUCACAACCUGGUUAUUGCAUUAAGAAUUGACUAUAAAAAGAUUUAAAAAAAAAAUACAUUAACGAAAAGAAAAACAAGAAAAAGAUAGACAUGUGGCUAAUACUCAUUGCUUGAGAAAUUGGAUGGAGUACGAAGAUAACUUGGGUGGGCUAUUUGGUAUGAUAACUUAUAUAUCUAUUAAUAGGCCUUUUGGCCCACCCACUUUGUUUUUUUUUCUAUUCCUUUAUCACUCCCACCUAAUUUGUUUAUUUCAACAAAAAACAACACAUGAAAACAAAAACAAAACUUUGGUAACUCCUAUCUAACCAAGUUAGAAAAAGCCUUUGGGAGGCGAUUUUUUAGGUCUAGCCGCCAAACAACUUCUCUUCUCAAAUCUUUGUCGAUACCUCUCUGAUUUUCCGGUGUCCUUGGCCGGAGUCGUGAGAGGGUGUGUCUGUUUAUCUUUUAAUUGAUUUUCCUUUGUUUUGGGUCUUCUUUGGCUUCUCCUAUGGCGGAUUAAAGACAAGAUCUAGAUGGUUGUGCUUCGAUUGGGUUGGUUCCGUUCUAGUGAUGGGUUUGCUUGGUUCUCAGUGGAUGGUCGGUGUUUUCGUCGGAGCCCGUGUGGUUCUUCACUAUUACGGCUGUUUGUUUUUGGAGAUGGAGGUUUGGUUACUUCAUCUUGUUUAUGCCCGUAACUUUUAGAAGCUCUGCAGUCUCGAUUCUGUCUUAGGCUAAGAUUGGAUUGCCUUUGGUUGGGUAAUUUAGUCUUAGUAGUAUGGUUGGUUGAGGGUAGAAGCCUUAGUUUCAAGUUUAGGGAUGGCAAUAUUGACUCCUAGUUCUGCCUCCUGUUACUUUCUGCCCGGUUAUUGGGGUUAUGAGUUUGUGAAGGUUUCGUUUUGUGGGUUCUUCAUUUGGAUGGUAGUCUCCUACAAAGGCAUCUACUAGCUCUCUUCUUUUUCCUUGUUUGGAUUUAAGGUUUGAGUUCAAGACGAUGUGGUAGGCUCGGUCUCUAUUCCUUCUCUUGCGUGGCGUAACAAGUUCUUAGGCUGUAGAUGGUUUUGGCUGGGUCUACGAAUGUCCGCGUGUAAGGUUUGUUGGCCCUCUUUAGCGUUUUCCCCUUCGGAUCUCAAGGCUUCUCCUUGUCCCUUCUCCUACUUGUCUUCUCUGGUUUCUGGUGUGGUAGUGAUGGUUAGGAUCUGUGUUCUGAUUCUCUUUUAUCUGUGCUCGUUUCUGCUCGGGGUGUGGUUGUGUGAGCUUGGUUUUGUAUCCUUCUCGGGCCUUUCAUGUAAAGGCAAUCUAAUGAUGGGUCCUCUUGUUGCUCCUGUUUGUAACCACUUUCCAGCGCCCAAAAUGUUCUAUGGAAAUGUUCGUCGGAUUCUUUUCGUGAAGAGUUUGCAGUUGUGUUGCUUGAGUCUUAGAUAUUAGCUUUUUCCUGUACUUUAAGGUUUUCCUUCUUUUAUGUCUGCCUUUUUUGGCUUUUGUCUUUGGGGGUUUCCAUGUAUCCGCCGGCUUAGUUUUCCGGGGAUUAGAGUCCCGCCGGGGUUAGUAUUUUACCAUGUAUCCCAACUUUGUAUUUCUCCCUUGGUUAUAUUUCAUGAAUUAUUCAGACGAAAAAAAAAAAAAAAGUAAGUCCUAUCUAUCAAUCUUUAUGUGGUAUUUGAGCAUUUCGAUGUAUUCGAUGGCGACCAAAACCUUUUGAAAAACAAUAUGUAUAAUUCUUGAAAUUAAAUAGUAAAAAAGUUAUUAAAAAAUGGGUAAAAAAGUUUUAAGAUAUUUGAAAACUUUCCACUAUAUCAAUAAUUAAUUAGAAAUGUUUUUUUUUUUUAAUAAAAUUUGAGUUUUUACGACCCACACAUAGCAUAUCCUAUUUCGAAAGUACCUAAACAAACGGUUCCAAAAUAUCUUUAUGUGAAUUUGGGUCAAGCCCUUCGAUUGAAGAAAAUAUAUGAUCCACAAGAUGCUUGAAUAUACUUAGUAAAAAUGAAUAUUCAAGACUCUUAUCCAGAAUCCUAUCCUAAAGAAGGCACGUCCACUAAUGUAUCCAUCACUAGAUUUCAAGUGGGUCAUCUUUUACUUAAAGAUAUUGUUAGUCUAAACCUCUCAAGCUCAUUAAUCAUGUGACAAGAAUUGAAUGUGAAUCUAAUUUUUCUAGUGAUUUCUUUAGCGACACUAGAUAUGCUAUGGUUCUUCAACUUGUAAAUUUCAUAUUUGGAGCCGCAUUGUCCUCUUUCAUUUUGUUCAUAUGCAAUUCAAAUUGAAAGACUUAUAGAACAUUACAUAUUUAUUUCAUCAGACAGUUGAGAAUCCGAUAGAAAAUGUCUCGCAAACCGGAAAACAAACGUUAAAUCCGGAAAUUAAAACCCAUAAAAAAAGAAGAAGAAAAAAAGCAGAAGAACAAGGGAUAAAAUCAAAGGUGGGGGAUAAUGUUUUGAUGUUUACACAGAGCAAAGGGAAAUUAACCGGUGAAGCUUGGUGGCUUGUAGGCAAUGAAACUGAUGCACUGCACUUGACGGCUGUUGUCGAAUCCGAUGAUCCUAAUGAAGGCUUCAGGGUACUCCUUCUUGCACUCUUCCACUUCCUUCAACACUUGAGCGGAGUCGGUGCAACCGAACAAGGGAAGCUUCCACAUUGUCCAGUACCGUCCAUCGUAGUAUCCGGGGCUGUUACCGUGCUCACGGUACACAAAUCCGUGCUACAAACCACAUAUAUUACAACCACUCAGAAAAACAUUUUGUAUAUGUUUAUAUAAUUCAAGAUUCCUAAUAUAUGAAGCGAAUUACUAACCUAAUUUUCCUAAGAUCUACCUCGUUUAUAUAUAUGUUUUAAGCUUUUAUUAAUUACCUCCAACUCGAAUUCAACACAAGGAAUCCACUUGUUGCGGAGAAGGUAGUCAACUUCCUUAGCCAAUUCGGAAUCGGUAAGGUCAGGAAGGUAAGAGAGAGUCUCGAACUUCUUCUUUCCAACGGGAGGCCACACCUAUAUUUUUUUUUUUUAUCGAUUUUUCGAAUCAUAUUAGUUCAUGUAAAUCUAAUUAAAAACCGAUAAUAAAUUAAAAAGUGAAGAAGAAAUAUAUAUGACCUGCAUGCAGUUAACUCUUCCGCCGUUGCUUGUGAUGGAAGUAAUGUCGUUGUUGGCCUUGCGGGUGGCUGGGAAGGCAGCGGAGGACUUAAGUCCGGUGAAAGGAGCGACCAUUGUGGCCUGAGCCGGAGAGGCAACCAUAGUAGCGGAAGAGAGCAUAGAGGAAGCCAUUGUUCUUCUUUACUCUUUGUGUGACUGAGGUUUGGUCUAGAGCUUUGGUCAUCUAUAUAUAAUGGUAAUAACGAUGAGAAUAAGCUUUGGAGUGAUCGGAGGGUCUAGGAUUCAUGAGAUUCAAGUGGAAUAGGAUCUAGACCGUUGGAUUUUGAGUGUGGAUAUGUGUGAGGUUAAUUCACUUGGUAACGGCCACAAAGGCCUAAGGAGAGGUGUUGAGACCCUUAUCGGCUUGAACCGCUGGAAUAAUGCCACGUGGAAGAUAAUUCCAUGAAUCUUAUCGUUAUCUAUGAGUGAAAAUGUGUGAUGGUGGUGCUACUCAUUUUACUGGCCUGGUGGUUUUGGCUCUUUCCUUUUGGGGAAUUUAUAUUUUACUUACUACAAGCUUUCAUACCUUUUUUUACCUUGGAUUUGGUUUGAAUAUUUUAAAUGGUAUGGUUCAUGAACAAAAACACAUUUGUUUGGGAAGUCUGUCAGUUGGGCCUUGGCCCAAUUGGUUUACCUGGUAGUCAGAAAUGCAGACGGCCUGACUACCCCCUGACACUUAGUCGGAAGGCAUUCCAAACUCGGGAUAGGCAGAGUGGUAGCCUGUAAGGGCCUAACCGUUAACACGGUGGACCAGUCCACUAUGUAGCACAUCGGUGCGUUCCUACCGGGACCGACCGGAUAGCCGAUAGGGUUUAUCAAAAAAAAAAAAAAAAAAAACUGUAAAAAGCUAAAAUAAACUGUAAGAAAAACAUCUCAAGUCUCCAUCUUCCUUUAUGAACACUAUAAACAAAGCAAGUCAGACAAAUCUUACUGGGCAUGUCUUCCCAACCUCUUCCAUCACUUCCCUAUCGGGUUGUAUGUUUUUACUUGUACUUUUCCGGUGUAAUGAUAGUAUGUUGACCCAAAGAAAAAGCCUUUAAGAACUUAUUGGGCUCUUUGUCAAAACUAAUUAAUUGGGCUCACAAUCGAAAGUCAUGGAAUAUAGAUAUAGUCCAAAGACUUUCCGACAGCUUUCUAAUCAAACGUGAAACGCCCAUCAAUUGAAAUUUACUAGUAAUAAUAAAUCAUCAGUUAGGUUACCCUUCUUAUUAUGUGCCAAAUUCAAUACAAUAUAAUUAUUUGAAUGAAAAUGUAUUAAUGUUAUUAAUCUAAUGGUUAGGUAAGAGCUAAAAAAAUCAUAUAUUAAAUAUAAGGUUCAACUUUUAAAAAUUAGAUUAGUGUUGAAAUCAUCGGUUUAUUCUAUUCAAAUCAUAGGUUUUUCGUAUUGAAAUUCAUUUAAUUCGUAAAAUGAUUGAAAACGUAAUUUAUUUUUAACCUAGAUAACAAAGAAUCAUAUACAUUUUUGUGUUUCGUUCAUUUACUUCAUAAUUUUAUUUAAUUUGAAUUUCUGUUUUUUAUUUGUGUAAGAUAUGUAUAUAACAUUGAUAGCAAAAUCUGUAAAUAAUAAGCUAAAACUCUCUCUGGAAACGUUACGUCAACAUAAAAAUUUCGUUAAUAACACUUGACAUGAGGGUAAAGUUCAUUUUUAAGAGUGUUUUUGAAUUAAUAUAUAGUGGAUACAAAUCUCGACUCUAAAAAAACACAUUAUAACUUUGAAUUCUGACUACAACUCUAUUUUUAAAUUCUGAUUGUAGAGUGAAAAAUCUUAAUACGAUAAAGCCAUGAAUAUUUUUUUUUUUUUGGGUAUCAAAAAACCAUGAAAACAUGUUAGUAGAAAAAAACUAGAAAGAACUUCAAGACAUUCAAAGAAUUAAUAUGGAAAUUUUGUAGAAAAAAUAGAAAGCACCCACAUAUCAUGAUAUAUGAUGUUUCUAAUCCCAACUUUAAGACUCAUUCAAAGAGUUAAUAUGGAAAUUUCAGAAAAUCUACCAUAUCGGACUUCCUCUUUUGUUGCAUAUGAAUAUGUUUACCAAUUAUGUGAAUGAAGAUUAUAUAUAUACUAGAUUUUAACGCGCGGUACUUAACCAGGGAUGGACGUAAACUCGUAAGCUACAGGAAUGCCUCACCCGAUGAUUGGUCCUUGGUUGGUUGACUAGCUACUCCUGCCACGAGUCGAGAAUUCUGAGAAUUGUGUUAGUUCAUGCCCUUUAGAACUUCCCCGCAACAAGAUAGAAAGAAGAGUAUAAUUCGGUUCACUCCUCACCUUUGAAAUGUAGCUUGAGCAGCUAAUCAGUCAAUACCGUGGGAUGCUUUUUUAAAAAGUUAAUAUAAAUUAAAUUUUGCAAAUUGCUCUAUCAAAAAACGAAUUCAAAAAAAAAAAUUGUAUCUCCUUAUAAAAUAUUUAAGUAACGGUAUACCAUGAGUCCACAGAACAAUUUUAAAAAAACUGAGGAUUUAACCCGUGUUAAAGCGGUAUGUUAAUGAUAUUUUAAAAUUUUAUAAAUAUUGAUUCAAAACCCGUUCUGAAAUACAACCCGUCCCGUAAUCUUUUCAUCCGUUCCUUGAUUUGUUUUCUAAAAGUUAUUAUUUUUAAAUUUAACGAUUAUUUAUUAUAUAUAAAAGUUUACAAAUUGUUUCAUUCUCUAAGACAUUUAUAUUUUAAUAAACUGAGGAUUUAAUCUGUAUUAAAGCGGUAUGUUAAUGAUAUUUUAUAAAUAUUGAUUCAAACUCGUCCACCAUAUAAUCAUGUUCCAAAAUAUAACCCGUCCUGUAAUUUCUUAACCCGUCCCGUGAUUUGUUUUCUAAAAGUAGUAAUUUUAAAUAUUUAUUGAUUAUUUAUUAUAUAUAAAAAUUUAAAAAUUGUAUCAUUCUCUAGGACAUUUAUAUUUUAUACUUUACAAUUGUUAUUAAGUAAUAUUAUACCAUGGGACAAUUUUUGGUUUUAUAUAAUCUUUUCUAAAUGAGACUGAUUAAGGUAUUAAAAAAUAAGGAUUUAAUCCGUAUUGAAACGACAGAUUAAUAAUAUUUUAAUUAUUUUAUUAUUGUUUAUUCAAAAACCUGUCCCGCCAAAGUCCAAACCCGUCCCGCUAGAAAACUUAUUUAUUUUAUUAAUGUUGAUCUUAUUUCUGAUAUGAUUCUGAAUCAUUGUCUAAAUAUUUUAGUCGAUUUGGAACGUUGAAUACACAAUUUUCGUCAAUUGGAUAAUAUAUGUCCGUUUUAAAUUUCGAAUCACAGUAUAUAGAAAAAAAAAUUGACUUUUUCUUUUACUUUACGUAUUAUAUGAUGAUUCAAAACAUUUAAAAACAAAUCAAACAAAAAUGAUAGGAAAAUCAUAAUUCUAAAUCUUAAUCAAAUCUUCUAAAUAUUAAAAUUAUUAAAUAUGGAAUAUCCUAUUUAUGAAUUGAGUUAAAUAUAAUCCGAUCUAACAAACUUUUUAUGACCAAAAUUUGUAAAUGGGUUGGAUACUCAUUGUAUCCAAAUACAUUUUGCUCUAUCCGUUAAAAAUAUAUUUAAAAAAUAUUAGCAUAGAUAUAUUACAAGAAGCUUAUGUUAUUCUAAUCAUAACAUUGAAGCUCCUCGUAAGGUAAAGCACACAAAAUUCCGAAAACCAUGGAACACGUAAGCCCCUGGCCCUGGGUUUGUAUUAUUCAAUUCAUUUGUUAUAUAUUCCUCCUAAAAUUAUGGAAGCGAUUGGAAGAUAUAGAAGAGGUUUUGUCCAACAAUUUAAAAUCGACGACGAAAAAGUAGGAUGACGUUAUUAACACGCGCGGCCAUAUGGAUGCAAAACCCUAUAUUUCUCUAAAAUUGUUUUGGCUAUUUCCUCUUUUUUUCUAAUAUAAAAAUGUUUUUGGACAUUUUUGCAUGGCAUCUUCACCUAUAUCUCCUCCAUUUGGCUUCCUUUAUUCAGUUCAAUGUAUCAUCAACAAGAGUUCACUACCUUUUAUUUCAUUCAUGGCUUGUUUUUAGUUCUAGAUUUGGAUUUUUGUAGCUUAACUUUUGAUAGAAUUCGGAAAGAGAAACUGAUAAACAAAAGGUAGAGUUAACGUUGGAUUCUGUAUCAGAUAAACCUCCAUAAAGGAUUAUAUCAUUGUAUAAGUCUAGCUAGAAAAUAUCCAUGUUCGUAUUUGUCAAUUAAAUUUUUUUUUGUAUUCGUUGUUUAUUAUAAAACGACAAAAAUGUAUUCGUAUGUUUAUGUUUUGUAUGCAUCUAUUUAGAUAACAUAUCAUUAGUUAUUUUUUUUUUAAAUAAUUAGUUAUUUACAAACCAUAUCAUAAAUGAAUUAUUAUUAAUUUUUUAUAAUUUUCUUGCUUACUUUUUGAGUGUACAUUGUCUUAGUUAUUUUUUGCCGCAUGAUUAUGUUAAGUAGUUAGGACCUUAUGGAGGAGAUAAUCGAGGUUAUGUGAAAUAAAAUUCUCCUAUCAUCUUUGUUUGAACAUUUUUAACUGUUUUGAAUUAUCAUAUAAUACAUAAAAUUAAAAAAAUCUCAAAUUUUUCUGCAUAUAUUGGGAUUCGAAAUUUUUAAAACAGAUAUAUAUUACCCAAUUGAUGAAAAAGGUGUGUGUUUAACGUCCCAUAUCGGCUAAAAUAUUUUUAAAUAUUGAUUCAGAAUCAUAUUAUAAAUAAGAUUAAAAUGAAUCCAAAUCUGAAUAAACAAGAUUCUCAACUUAAUAAGCAUCCAAAUUUAAAAUUAUAUACCAUUUUUCUAGGUUUUUUAGUUUAACUGCUUAAUUUUACCAGAAAUAUUAAAUUUUAAACCUUUAAAUUUUUUUAAAUAAUAUAUAAUUCAUAUAUCUAAAAUCAAUAAAUAUUUUAUAAUAUUAUGAACAUUUGAACAUAUAUAAAAAAUUACAAUAACACGAGACAGGUUAUAUUGGUAGAUAAGGUUAUAUAACGGUACGAAUUUUAAGUAGUUUUAAAUAUUAUAAUUAAUAUAUUUAAAAUCAAUAAACAUUUUAUACUAUAAAAAAAAUUGAAAAUAUAUAAAGAGUUAAAAUAAUUUGGGACGGUUAUAUUGCACGACGGAAUUAUAUUGCAGAGCAGAGUUAUAUUGCAGUGUGAGGUUAUAUUGCAGGACGGGGUUAUAUGAUGGGACGAGUUUGAUUAAAAAAAAUAAAACAUCAUUAACCCGCUGCUUCAAUACGGUUAAAUGUUCAUUUUAUUACUUUUUAACACCACCAAUAUCAGACAUAUCGAAUGAUACUGAUUAAAGUAAAUUGUAUAAAACAAAAAUUGUCUUGUUGUAUACUGUUACUUAAUAACAAUUGUAAAUUAGAAAAUAUAAAUAUCUUAUAAAAUAAUACAAUUUGAAAUUUUUUAUAAACAUUAAAUUUUAAAAAUCAUUAAUUUUAAAAAUAAAUCAUCCCACGGAUUAAAAUCUAGUAUUCUUUAAAUUAGCAAAACCGACCCAUCUCAAAUAGUGCAAAUGUAAAAGCGGAUAAAUUGGCACGAAAUGUUCGUACCGAACCGCAUCACAUCACGUAUGUAAACAACAUUCCUCAGGAAUGGCUCUUUUGAGUCUUAAUUAAUAGCGGUUGACAAAAAAAAAAAAGACCCAUCUUAAAUAGUUGCCUAAGUUUUUUUUUUUAGGCAACGGUUGGAUUAUUUGUUUCAGUAAUUGCGUAUACUCCCUCCGUUUUAAAUUAGUUAUCGUUUAAAGUUUUUUCACGCUUAUGAAGAAAAUAUUCAAUUUUUCUGUUUUACCCUUAAUUAAUGUAUUGUUUUAUGUGAUAUUAUCAAUUAAUAAGCUAAGAGAGUAUGGAUUAAAUUAGAAAAUCUUUUAAAAAUACGCACUGAAAACCUAAAACGAUAAUUAGUGUAAAACAAAAUUUAACUUUUAAAACGACAACUAAAUUAAAAUGGAUGGAGUAUAUAACAAGGAAAUCCUAGAGUGAGAAGGAAACUCCAAAACCAUGUUGACCAGAAUAAUUGGAAAACAACCUAUGAUGCUCAUAGAGAAUAGGUGAAACCGGUUUAGUUCCUACCUCAUCACUUUCCCCUCUCUGGAAAACCGGGAAAUUUUGUACUUACUGUUGAAAGUGUAAUUAAUACUUAAAAAAAAGUUUGCUAUAUCCUUUAGGAUUUGAACCGUGACUAUGAGUCUAAAUGGUAACAUUAGUUUUGAGGAAUUGUUGAGGAAUUUUGGUGGAAAAAAAAAAUGUUACAUCAUUUCAAGACUUGAGGAAUUUUUGAGGAAUUGGUGGAAUUCUUGAGGAAUUUUUUUUGUUAGGCUUUUUUUGUUUUAAUUAAAAAUUAAAUUAUACUUGAAACUAUAAAUAUUGAAAUUCAAUAGUACAAGUUGCUCGUAAAAAAAAAUUCUUAAUUAGACAAUUAUAAUUUCAUUUUUUUUUUAUCAAAAAGUAAAAUUAAUUAUAAGAUUUUAUGGUUUUAAAAGAUAAUAUUUGAUUAAAUUAUCACAUAUAUUAACUUUUGAUUUCACCAUAAUCACCAAAAUAUAUAAUAAUUAUGUUUGAUAACACUUUACAUAUAUUAACUUAAAAAUUUCAAUAAUUUUUGUAAUCUUAAAAACUUUUAGAAAAUUUAGAGAAUUUAAUUAAUUUAAAAGCAUAAAUCAGAUUCUAGUUUAGCUAACUUGAUUAUAUUUCUAAUAUAGUAAUUUUAAAUUUCUUCAAAAUUCAACCUUAUUUUUUACAAGUCACAAGUUUUUCAUAAUAUUUUGUUUUUAACUAAUUUUGUUGGAAAUUUUUUUUCUAAUUAAAGUUUUUAGAAGUUUAUUUGAUUAAUUAAUAUUAAAAAAAAAUCAACUAGAUUCAGCAGUUACCAUUUGAACUUUAAAUUUCUCAGCCAGAUUCCGCAAGAAAUUAUAAAUAAAUUCAGCUAGAUUCAGCAAUUCAGCCAGAUUCAGCCGGAUUCCUCGGUUACCAUUUAGACCCUAUAUUCUACCUAAGUUUCGAAAAAGAAUACACUAGCGUUCGUGAGGUAAGAGUAGACCGUAAGAUAACGUCAAAUUUGAUAUUUUAGUACUAGUAUUUAAAGUUAUUAUUCAAUAUUUGUUAUUGUUUUGUCUCUUAUUCUAAAAAUCCCCGUCCAUCCCGAUUACUCUCCUCUUAAUCACUAAUCCUAUCCUAUCCACUUCGAUUAAUGACUAAUCCCCUAAAAAAUCACUUACCCGAUUUUUUCACCGCCUAAUCUGAUUACUUUCUGCCUAAUCCGAUUACUUUCCUCCUAAUUUUAUAUAUCCCAAUUAUUUUUAGAUUGCAAGUAUAAAAAAACUUUUUAUUUUUGUUAUUCAAUUAUUUAAAUUGGGAGUUUGUGAUGUUUUACAAUAACUUAUGUUCAAAUUUUAAUAAAAAUCAUAAAUUUGUAAUAAAAAUCAUAAAAAUUUAUCUCAAAAAUACAGUUUUAUGUGUUUAUUGUAAUUUUAAAAACAAUUUGGAUUAAUAUGUUUUAAAACUAUUAAAAUAAUCCUAAAACUAAUCACAUAUUAAUCUCCAAUUUUAAUCUGAUUUUCUGAUUAAUCGCUAGUUCCAUACUAAGCGCCCGACUAGCGUAUAGAGAUUUUUCAAACAAGGGUUUUGUCCUAUCAGUUUGUUCAAAACUUGUUAGUUGUUCGUUUCUGUCCGUUACUCACAAUUUAUUUAGCUGUCCCAAUUUAAAUUUUAACCAAACUAUUCCAAACAUAUAGACGAGUUUUACUUCUCUCUUUUUUCAAUUCUGAAUCUUAAUUAUGCACAUUUCCAAAACUUACAUUAACUAUAACAUCUCCAUUGUUUUCUUUUUUUCAGCAUAGCUGAUGCAAAUUUCGAAUGCAAAUUCAUUAGAGUUGGAACAAAUUUCUUGAAAGAAACUAGCUAGUUGUUGCAUUCAUUUUUUCAAUAAAUAAUUUGGCAUAACAAGAAGAGAGAGUGGUGUUUAGAAUUUAUACGAUGACAAAUUGCACAUACUCAUAUUAUUAUAGAUUUUGUCCUGAAUUGUAGGUAAAUCUCUUACGUUUUUACUGUUUUUUUACUGGAAACUAUGGGUUUUAGGUAAUUAUUUCUAGCAAAAGAUAAACAAUAAGGACACAUAUGUCAAAUCUGUUGAUGUUGAAUAAUAUAUAAAAAAAAAGGUUACAACGAUUACGUAUAUACACCUUUUGACAUUUUGUUUUGGUAAACAUAUACUACUCCUUCUGUUUCAUAUUAUAUGAUGUUUUAGUCAUUUUAUCUUGUUUCACAAUAUAAGAUGUUUUGGACAAAAACAAUUUAAGUUUUCAUAUAAAAAAUUAAAUUUAUACAAUUUUAUAACUAUUUAUAUUCUGUAGUAAACUUUUUCAUUGGCCAAACUUUCUUUAAGUAAAUAUUAAAUUAUGAUUUCAAUGUAAAAAUAAUAGAAACAAAAAAAUUGACUAGUUUCUUAAACUUUGUAAUUUUAAUCAAAACAUCCUAUAUUUUGAAAAAGAAGGAGUACUAUAUAUUUUUAAGGUUAUUAAUAUUCUUUUUGAACUACUACAGUAUAUUUUCGAGCUAUAUACUACAUAUUGUGUGUGUAUAAUUCUUUUUUAUAUUAAUUAUAAAAGUAACAGAAAUUAGGUUAAACAUCACCAUUCAAUGCCGAUUGUUUUAGUGAAAGAAACUACCGAAUUUAACCAAUAAACAUUGAAAUUAUUUCUUUACUUAAAAAAGUAAAAUAUUGAGUCUAUACUCUAUAGUAGUCAAAGUGAUUCCAUUGGGAUAAUUUAUUAAGUGGUCUCUGGAUAAUAAUGUUUAAUUAUCAGAAUUAUGUAUGGAGCUACAUAAUGUGUAGCCGUUCAGAAAACGCGGCGAUUCGACCAAACUCUGUUACCACAAUGUCUCCACCACGCGAUCACAUUUUUCGCUUGCAUGCGAACGUUGAAGUUCGAACCUCUCCACUCUCUAUUUACCAUUUUACCCUCUAGUAGUUUCGUAUUCAAAAUUUACCAUCUCCAAAUAUUUUGGCAGUCCAUUAUUAAUUGCCGAACAUUAAACUGCGGCCAUGACAAAAAAAAAACAAACGGCGGUCAGAUAUAAAAAAGACUUAAACCAAAUACAGUAUAAAAAUACUUGACUGGUUUUGGACCUUUCGGUCGAUCGCGAUCACGCGCUACGAAUGAAGAGUCGGAGACAAAGCUCAACGGCUUCCAUAUAUGGUGCUUUCAUAUUUAUUACUCAUUCCGUUUCGUUUUAGUUAUCGUUUAAUGUUUUUUCACACAAAUUAAAAAAAUCAUUUAAUUUUUUGUUUUAUCCUUUAUUAAUAUAUUUUAUAAAAAAAUUCAUUGGCCAAAACAUUAUAACAAUAGGGAUAAAACUAGAAUUUUCACCAAACAUUUGCAUUGAAAACCUAAAACGACAACUAUUAUGAAACAAAAUUUAAAUCUUAAAACGACAACUAAACUGAAACGGAGGGAGUAGUAACUAAAAAAACAUUGCAUUCUAGAAAGUAUAAACCAUGAAAAUUGAAAUAUUGACAGUAAAAUUUAAUUUUUAACAAAAAAAAUAUUUCGUUGUCAAAAAAAAGCUAGAAAAAAAUUAUGUGAAACUUUGUUUAUUUUUAUAAAACCUUGUGUUCAUUUCCAUAACUUUACUAGUAAAACUUACUUACCUAAAUAAAUGUAUUUUUCUUAUCAUUUACUAAAAUUAAUUCAUACAAAAUAGAAAAAAACUAUUUUAGCUUUAUAAAAUACAUCAUUUAAAAAAGUAUAUAUAAAAAGGUUACGAUUUUUUUCUCUCUUUGACAUCUUAUACUCACUCUGCUCUUUUAUAAAUAAUGUUUAAAGUUUAUAUUUUUUGUUCUUAAAUAGAUGAUGAUGUUUUUAGUUUUCAAUAUAAUAUUAAUUAAUUUUUUAUUGGUUUUAAUGAUUUAUAUUAUGCAAAUAAUUUUUAUUAGUUGAUAAGAUAAUAAAUUAUGUUUGUUUUAAAGUAAAGAAAAUUAAAUAAUUUUUUAAUCUAUAUGUAUUUUCUUAAAACAUCAUCUAUAAAAGAAAGUUAGAGCAACAGCAAUGGUAGCUCUUAAAAGGCUCUAACCCAUAGUUUCUUGUAAUAAAAGGUCCAAAUUUAAAUCAAAACAGAAAUAAAACUUAAGGAACGUUUCUAAUUUAAGGUUUUUUUUGUUGCUCUAAGAGACGCUACGUGUCGCCUUGUCAUUAGCACGAAAAGUGAGAAAACAAACUUUUUUUUUUCUUUCGCGUUUCAGUUUUUCUCAACCCUCUCUCUUUUCUCUUUGUUUUCUCCGACGGCGAAUCUCUUUGAGCUUCAUUUCCGGCGAUGUACAUCAUCAAAUCGGAAGUAAAAAGCGAAGCAACGUUGUAAACAAUAAGCCGUGAUGCUCAUCUCCACCGUCGGCGUGGUCACCAACAGAAGUUCGUUGACCUAAUCAGUGGGUUCUGCAAAUCAAAUCGGAGAGAAAGGCGAUUCCAGUGGCUCCAAUCGCUUCCUCACGGUAUGAAUCUCUCAGUUUUAUUUGUUUGUGAUAUGAGAUUUGUUUUGCUAGAAAUUAGGGUUUUUGAUUUGUAAACGCAAUUUUGAGUUUUUGAAUAGAUAAUGAGUCUCUUAAUCUGUUAAUUUGGGUUAUUGAUUACAUAAUCUGAGAUUAAAGAUUUGUAUUUGAUCUUGAUUCAUGUAAAAAAGUCUGUUGAUCCACCAACAUGUCCUGCGGAUUACAGGUGGUAUAACGCAGAAGAGGAGAUUCUUGGGAAGAAAAUAAAAGUACUUUAGUUUGUUUUGUCUUUUUCUUGUGGAUUACAGUAUUAUAGUGGGAAGCGAUCAAGGCAUAAGAGGGAUGAUCAUGGUACUAUCAUGGUACUGGAGACAAGCAUCAAGAUAACAGUGAUGAUGUUGGCGACAGGCUUCUCACUUCUGGAGAUGACUACACUAAAGAUGAAAAAUAAGGGGGAGAAAAGCAGAGAUAAAUAUCGGGAAGACAAAGAAGAAGACAUCAAACAUAAAGGUGACAAGAGAGGAAAUUAUUGUUUCUUUUGUUUCUGUUAUGUGAUCAAUGUAAGAGACUUUCAUUGUCUCUCAGUUUUUAAAAUGAAUGAAUACAGCUUUGAGUUUAACUUUGGCUUUGGCUUUGGCUUUUGAAUGAAACAGAAUCAGUUUAACUUUGCCUUCUCUGUGAAAGCUUUGUUUUGAGUAAAUGACAAAACAGAUUCAGUAAAGACUUUGAGUUCUUGUACUCUCAUUUGCAGGAUGCAUAUUUUCGUCAUUAAGAGACAUGUCUAGUGCCAAAUUAGCCAUGUUCAUGUGCCAAAGUGUAGGCCAUAUUCUCAGUAUCUUCAAGAAGAAGAUGAUGUUCUUUCUUGUAUAGUUUUGUCUUUGAUGUGUUUUCAAAUGAAUCUUGUAUACUUUGUUAUAUUAUUGUCAUGAAUCUUGUUAUUUAAAAUGUGUUUAUAAAAAAUGUAUCAAAAACUUGUAUAGUUUGUCUUCUCUAUCUUUCUUUUCAAGCAAUCAAAACUCAAACACCAAAUUUUAUUUUCAAAUUUUUCUUUCUUAAGGAUUCCUACCAUUGGACAUGAAUAUUUCUAAGAGCCUCUAAGCAAAUCCUUAACUUUAUAUUUGUCAAAAUUUACAAUUAAAAAAUUCUUAAGGAUCCUUAAGAGAUCCUUACCAUUGCAAAUCCUUAACUUUAUAUUUGUCAAAAUUUACAAUUAAAAAAUUCUUAAGGAUCCUUAAGAGAUCCUUACCAUUGCUGUUGCUCUUAGGAGUACUUUGAAUUCGUUUAGACAAAAAUACAACACACGUCACAAAUUACAGACAAAUAUAUAAGACGACAAAGUCCUUCCCUCGUUAAUUGUUAUGAUCUCUCCGACCAAACCAAGCAGCUUCUCCCUCUUAAAUACCUCUGGACCGUAGUGUACUUUCCCCCAAACCCAAAAAACAAAACCUCCUCUUUUUUUUUCCCCUCUCUAAAAUGCGUAUGAGCUGUAACGGAUGUCGAGUUCUUCGAAAAGGCUGCAGUGAAAACUGUAGCAUAAGACCUUGUCUUCAAUGGAUCAAAUCCGCUGAAUCUCAAGCCAACGCCACCGUCUUCCUCGCCAAGUUCUAUGGCCGUGCCGGCCUCAUGAACCUCCUCAACACCGGUCCUGACCACCUCCGUCCUGGUAUACCAACUUCCCAUGCAUGUCAUGUUUUUUUUUGUUAUGGUUAAUUGCGAAGUUCUGGGCCGAAUCUCAUACAUCUUUUUACCGGGACUGCUAUUAGUCCCUCCAAGCCAGAAUCGAACUAGGUCUCUUAGGAAACAUAGGAUUCUGUUUAUUUUUCUAGCAUGCAUCUAAUGAUUUGUUUUUUUUUUUUUUUUUUUUUUUGUAGGGAUAUUUAGGUCAUUGUUGUACGAAGCAUGCGGGAGGAUUGUGAACCCGAUAUAUGGAUCAGUCGGUUUAUUGUGGUCCGGGAAUUGGCAUCUUUGUCAAGCUGCGGUCGAGGCCGUGAUGAGAGGCUCACCCGUGACUCCGAUCGCAUGCGACGCGGCGGUUACGGGUCAAGCUCCUCCUUUUAAUAACAAGCUCUGUGACAUAAGACACGUGUCAAGCAAGGAAGAGAACGUGAAGAGACGGAGCCGUGGUGCAUGCAAGGAAGAGAGAAACGUGAGGUCGUUGAGUCAUGAGUCGUCACUGAGCCACGAGUCACCGGUGUCGUCUGAAGAGACGACGACGGAGGAACCAAAGAGUUGGAUCGGGCUUGAGCUAACUUUGGGGUUGGAGCCUGUAUCACGUGGGAGUCACGUGGUUGUGCCGAUGAAGAAAAGAAAGUUGGAGAGGUGUGGCACGUCUGAGGAUGAGGACACGUGUAAGAUUGAGCUAGGACUCGUGUGCAGUGAGUGAAUGGUUCUUUUUUUUUUGGCUGGGUCUUAGUUACAAGUUUUGGUGUUGAGUUUUUAGGUGUACAAAUAGAGAUUAACAAAUCUCUCUUUUUUUUUUCUCUUUUUUGAGUUUUAUGUUUUUCUUUUCUUUUGCAUGUUCGGUGUAUGAAUGAUAAAGAGGUCUUAACUUAACAAAUCUGCUAUUUUCAGAGAUCUCUGGGGGAUUAGAUUACAAAAAAUCUUAAUUUGUUUAGUGGUGAAAUCUCCAUACGAUGAUUAGUCAUUCAUUAUAAAUAGUUUUAUUUCAAAAAGCCCUUUUGUAUGUGAACCGUUACCGAAUGACUAACAUGUGUGUUAGAUUUUCGUUCUCAAAGGAUAUGUGUAGAAAUCUUAAUUUAGCUAGAGAAGAGGUUGAAUUAUUUUAAAUUAAAUGGGUCGAAAUGUGUAUUCAGCCGAAAAUAUGGCCCAGCUCUUUUGGACUUGAAUCCAAAAUUUGUCCAUCUAUCUUCCCCUAUACACGCACACUUAUCAUUUAUGCUAAAAUAAUUAAUGCAGUUCUUAGACCACCCACAAUGGGUAAUUUCUCGUUGGGUGUAAGUAAUAAAAUAUAAGAAAAUAAGGGAAUAGUUAGUUUAGAGACAUAAGUUGAGUGUUAUCCCACACCCGGGUGUGAGAGCCACGUGGGAGGAUAUUGUUGGUUAGGAAUUUUUGACGGAAAGGAUCUCAUAAAAGUAGGCGCCUCUACCAAUAAUCAAGUCUAUUAACUUUAUUUCUAAACACAAACUCUUAGCUUUUUUUAAUUAUAAAACCGUCUUAACAUAUAUCCCUUCGGUUAUGCCUUUGCUGAUGCUCUAAGCCUACAGUAUAUAUUUUUUCCAUGAAAAUUAAUUUCACAAACUAAAAGUAUUAUAGGCUAAAAAAAUCAGUAAUAUAUGUAAUAUUAUUUGUUAAUUGUAAAAUUAUUCAGUAAAAUGCAGUUUUCCAAAGUUAAUAAGAAACUAACAAUUUUUUUCGUUAAACCUAGAGAAACUAAUAUUGUAGUUAAAAUUAUAACGUGGAAAAAUAAUUGAAUGAAAUCACUGGAACAUUUGUUUUUCAUUAUUCGAAUUCAAAAUGUGAUCUAAUAACUCGAAAAUAUGAAUUGGAUAGUUCUACUGCUGCAACGAUUGCAUUAGAACUAUUUAGAUUUCAGACUGUAGACUCAAUCGUGUGCCUUAAUGGGUGGGGUGACAUCGGCCGCAUGAUUUCAGAGCUAAGAUCUCUACAAUGUGACAACAAACUAUGUUAGUUUAAUUUUCAUAACCAAUAUAUGCAUUAUUUUAUCAAUCAUAUAUUUUUAAUAUCAGCGUCAAGUCAUCGAUUUACCCAGAACAAGAGAUUGUCCUGUAGUUUACGAGUUAAGUGGUUUCAAUUUUUUUUUUUUUCUUCUCGUGAGUGGUUUUAGUUUAAAAUAUUAUCUUAAAACAAUAAUUUUAUAUAAAACAGAAAGAAGAUUUUUGCGUCUAAUCAUUAUCGAAAGGAUAUAUCUAUCAUAUGCAGGCGCCAAAAAGGUGACCCAUGUACGCAAAGUCACAAACACAAUUGCAAAAUUGAUAUUUUAGUCAAUUAUCCCAUGUAAACAAUGAUUAUUUAGUAAGAAAAAAAAUGUGUACAUUGCAUACAAAUUGCAACACACAUCCACCACAAAUUACUUCUACGUUAGAAUGUCAAUAGUGUCGCAUUUGUAGUGUUGUUGUCUGUGGAAAUCGAAACUAACACAAUCAAGAUUUGUCUAGGGUUUUAUUUUAGGGAUACGAUAAUCGUGAAUUCUCAAAGAACAACAGAAACGAUUGAUACCAAAGAUGGUGUUCUUGAUAUUAUUAAUGAAAAGAUGAUUUUGAUCGUACAAGAGUUUGAUCGUAAAAGAAAAAGGUGUUUGUGCUGUGAGAGCUUUGCGUAGUGUAAAUUCUAGAGCGAUAUUCCUUGCCCUUCGUUUGAGCCUUGAGUCUCUUUAUAUAGGGACGAUAAACCGCCUCUCCAGCGAUAUUCUCGGAAGAUUUCCAUUUAUCUUGAAGUCGGCCAGAAUAUCGCGGAUUAGGACAAUUUCCUUAUUCUUCGGAGUUUUCGGAAGAUUUCCUGAUUUGAGUUGAUCCUUCGCGAUUCUUCCUUAUCAUUUCCGAGUUUAUCGGAAAUGAUCCUUCUUUUUCGGAAAUGAUAACUUGCUUGGAAAUGAUACCUUUAGAGAAGAAUAUUUACUAAGUCUUUGCUUCGGGCGAUGAUGAAGACUUCGCCUCGGGGAACUUAUGCAACUGGCUCGGGUACACAGGAAGAACCGGCUCGGGCACUCUAGGAUGGCUUCUUCGGGUGUCCCCGAGGCGAUGGGCUCAGAAACUCCCGAGGCGACCAGGCUCGGGUACCCUCGAGGCAAUUGGGCUCGGGUGCUUCCGAUGUCUUGUUCAGGAUAUCCCCGAGGCGAUGGGCUCGGGUACCCCCGAGGCAAUUGGGCUCGGGUGCUUUCGUCGUCUUGUUUAAGUAUCCCCGAGGCGAUGGGCUCGGGUACCCCCGAGGCAAUUGGGCUCGGGUGCUUUCGUCGUCUUGUUUAAGUAUCCCCGAGGCGAUGGGCUCGGGUAUACUAAAUCGAUUAGACAGAUAUCCCGAGGUGAAUGAUGCGAUGCCCCGAGAUGAUCUCUGAAAGACUCCCGAAGUGUUCUAAGUCUGGCUCGGCGCCAAAGGGUGGAACCCGACCCCAACAUUGUCCGUUGUCACAUGGUAAAUUCGGUAGAUACACUCUUUUAUGUAGGUUAGGAAGUUUUGUACCUUAGAUGUGUAGUCUUUGGAAUCAUGGAAUAGAAGAGUAAUCUAUAAUUUAACUUUUAAGAGUUCAAACUCAUCGUGUUAAGGGUUCAUACCCUUUUUUUAGUACGAAAGUUUAGUUUUCAAAUCAGAAUAUCUAAAAAUUGACUUUGGAUAUUAGAAGACAGUAUGGACCGAAAGUUCGGAACUUCCACAGUUUAUUAAAAAAAUAAAAUUCAUAAUCUGGUCUCAUAUUUUGGAAACUUUCCUAGUCCAGGCCAGAGCUAACGCUGAAUUGAUCGCCGACCUUGAAGGCGGCAAAAAUGUCGAAGAUGAAAAGGAGGAAGUUCUCCAGUGGAAAGCUGAGUAUGGAGAUGCUGAGGAGGAGUUUGUGCGGAUCGGAACCGAGCUGCGAGAGGAUCUGAGGCUUCCUCCGGCUUCUCCGGAUUCUGUUGAAGAUAAUUUCGGAAACAGGUCAAUCGAGGGGGUUGCCGCGGGAAUUGGUAUUACGGAUCAAGCCGGCACGAAUCUGAGUUCCGAAGUCGCACAUGUUCCGGAGGAGCGGGAUGAGUAGAUCCGUGGCACAUUUCUUCUUUUAAUUCUGGAUUUUUGUAAGACUUGAUGCCUGGACGGCUUUAUCCACUAUUGAUAAUGAAUAUAUUUUGUUCUCGAUAAAUUUCUAGUCUCAGAGUAACUUUUCGAACCACUUUUCGAACCACUUUUCGAACCAGGCAAAUCGUGUACCAGUGUUAAGUAAACUGGGUUUUGGUAAGUAGGACUAAUCUUUGUCGGUUGCGACCCGAGCUGAUAUAGUCGAUGCCAGUGCUUAGAAGCGAACUGGGGUACCAGUGUAGAAGUCAACUGGGUUUUCUGAAGACAAUUUCUUUAUGGCAGGAUAUCUCCGACCGAAUCGUCUCGACUGUUUAUAUAGCGCGCUGUAACCGAGGCGGUGAAAAGAGCUUUUUCUGUCCGAGGACGUGGCCAUCGUCCGAACGAACUUUUAGCUUUAUAGAUCGAUAAGAUGACCGUUAAAAUCUCCGAGGUGGAUAAGAUUGGUAACCCGAAGGGUAAAAACUUAGAGAAUUUGAAAAAUUUAGUGGGAGUAUAUAAGUAUACGGACCCACUCCCCCCUUUUUUUAAUUAGGGGGGGUAGCUGAACUCGUCCGAGGACGAGCUGCCUACGUACCCUUUUCAGGGAUCAAGCCACCCCGUAGUUCAAGUACAUGCGUACCUUAGGUUUUUAGCGGUAGUAUUUCCUUAGAUGCAUUGCGUUCCAGGAUCUAGGUACCGCUUUGCCGUUCAUGUUGAUGAGUUCGUAAACGCCGGGACGGAUUACCUUUGCGAUCGUGUAAGGUCCCUCCCAAUUCGCGCCGAGUUUGCCUGCGUUCUGCUCGGCGGUAUUCUGGAAAACUUUGCGCAGUACGAGAUCUCCUUCGUGGAAACGGUGAUGUUUAACGUGAGAGUUGUAAUACCGAGCCGUUGCAUUCUGAUAGUUCUGCAUUCGGACCAAAGCCGAAUCUCUUCUUUCGUCAAUUAAGUCCAGCUCGUCCAGCAUCAUCUGAGUGUUGGAAUUUUCCUGCUCGGGGAGAAAACGUCUUCUCAGUCCCGGGAUCUCGGCUUUGGUGGGAAUCACACACUCCGUGCCGUAGACAAGGGCGAAAGGUGUUUCUCCCGUGGCUCGCCGUGGCGUGGUUCUGUGUGACCAGAGUACUCCUUCUAAUUCGUCGGCCCAGCGGCCUUUCUUUGCGUCGAGGCGCUUUUUUAUUCCGUCGAGAAUCGUCUUGUUUGCCGCUUCGGCCUGUCCGUUCCCCUGAGGAUACCGAGGCGUAGAUUUGCUGAGGUGAAUUCCCCAUUUCUCGCAGAAUCCUUCGAACCGAGCCGAAAUAAACUGCGAUCCGUUGUCUGUAACGAUCUCAUAAGGUAUCCCGUGGCGGCAUAUGAUGUUCUUCCAGACGAAGUUUUUGACCUGCGCGUCUUUGAUGCUGGCGUAGGAGUCUGCCUCGAUCCAUUUGGAGAAGUAGUCUGUUAGUACGAGGACGAGUUUCUUCUGUUUGGAGUUGUGUAGAGGUCUGAUGAUGUCCAUGGACCAUCGCAUGAACAGAUAAGGCGAAGUGAUAGAAGAGAGGAGCUCGGCGGGUUGAUGAAUGGUUGGUGCGUGCCUCUGGCAUUUAUCACACCGUUGAGAAAAUUUCUCGCAGUCUUUGACCAUCGUCGGCCAAAAAUAUCCGUGGCGUUUGAUCUUUAUGGCUAGGGCUCUCCCGCCGGAAUGGUUUCCACAAGAUCCGCCGUGUACUUCUUCCAUGACUCUCCGAGCUUCGUUUCCUUCGACACAGAUAAGGAGAGGACCAGAAAAUCGCCAUUUAAAGAGCUCUCCGUCGAUCAGAGUAUACCGAGCCGCUUUGGCCUUAAGCUUCCGAGCUGCCCACUUUUCAGUAGGAACUUCUCCAUCGGCAAUGUAGCUUCGGAUGGCUCCGAUCCAUUUAGCGUCGCUUCCGUACUCGGGCUCGGUUGCGUCCGUAGUUUGCUGGUCUAGCUGUUCGAUGUCCAUUUCUUCCAGUUCUUCUGUCUCCCGAGCUGUCAGAACUUGAUCCUUGCUAUUAUCUUCAAUGCUCGGUUUUUCGAUGAACUCAACCGGUAUGAUCCUCUUCAGAUUUGGGUCGGAGGUUGAAGCUAGAGCCGCUAAGGCAUCGGCCGAUGUGUUCUCACCUCGUGGAAUUCUGGUUAACUCGAACUCUCCGAACUGUUUCGCCAAGUCUUGCGUGAGAGCAAGAUACGCUUCCAUUCGUUCGUCGCGAGCCGCGUAUUCUCCAUUGAAUUGAUUAGCCACGAGCUGGGAGUCGCAAAAGGCUCGCAGCUUGUUGAUCUUAAGUCCCCGAGCCAGCUUAAGUCCUGCUAUCAGCGCUUCGUACUCGGCCACGUUGUUAGUCGCGUCGAAAUUUAGCCGAAAGGAUUGUUCAAGGAUUUCACCUUCUGGUGAUGCGAGGCGGAUUCCGACGCCAGAACCUUGUUUUGAGGAUGAGCCGUCGACGUGGAGGAUCCAAACAGCGUUGGGUGACUCUUCUCGGGUGUUCUCUGUCGGCAGUUCGAUGAUGAAAUCGGCCAGGACUUGAGAUUUCGCGCAUGUUUUGUUUCUGUAUUCGAUGUCAUACUCGCUGAGUUCUACUGCCCACUUGGCCAAGCGUCCCGAUUGGCUCGGACUGUGCAGGAUGGUUCGGAGGGAUACGGGCGCCAUGACGACAAUUGAGUGAGACUGAAAAUAUGGUCGUAGCUUCCGAGCUGACAUUACUACAGCGAGGGCGAGCUUUUCAGUUUGCGGAUAGCGUGUUUCCGCGUCGGUGAAAGUUUGCGAGACAUAAAAUAUCGGCUUCUGCUCUCCUCUGUCUUCCCUGACUAUGACUCCACUUAUAGCCGUAUCAGAGACUGCGAUGUACAGGAAUAACGGCUCGCCCGGGACUGGUUUCGCUAAAACCGGUGGAUUGGCCAUAUACUUCUUUAGUUCCUGGAAAGCUUCUUCGCAGCGAUCGGUCCAUUCGAAUUUCUUGUUCCCGCGCAGAGUAUCGUAGAAAGCCAGGCAUUUGUCAGUGGAUCGCGAGAUGAAUCGGUUCAAGGCUGCAACUCUCCCGGUGAGACGUUGGACUUCGCGCUUGUUCUGCGGUGAGGGCAUGUUUAGUAGAGCAUCGAUCUGCUUCGGGUUUGCCUCGAUGCCUCGGUGAGUUACAAGAUAUCCCAAGAAUUCUCCAGACUUUACCGCGAAACGACAUUUUGCCGGGUUAAGCUUCAUGUUGUGCUUAUUGAGCUGACGGAAACAGUCGCGUAGAUGGCCUAUGUGAUCGCUUUCCUCAAGGGAUUUGACUAACAUAUCGUCGAUAUAAACUUCCAUCGUCUUCCCGAGCUGCUCGGAAAACAUCCUGUUGACGAGCCGUUGAUACGUUGCGCCAGCAUUCUUGAGUCCGAAGGGCAUGACUUUGUAACAGUAGAUACCUCGGUCUGUGAUGAAUGCUGUCUUCUCGCGAUCGUCGGGGUGCAUGAGAAUCUGAUUGUAUCCUGCGAAAGCGUCCAUGAAUGAUAGCAACUUAUUUCCCGCGGUUGCUUCCACUAAACGAUCGAUAUGUGGGAGCGGAAAACUGUCUUUAGGGAAAGCUUUGUUCAGAUCGGUGAAAUCGACGCAGACUCUCCACUUGCCGUUCUUCUUUUUAACCACGACGGGAUUUGCUAACCAGUCCGGAUACCUUGCUUCAGAGAUCGAGCCGAUCUUCAGGAGCUUUUCAACUUCGGCGUUCACGGCAUCUGCGCGAUCCCGGCCCAAUUUUCUUCGCUUCUGCUUGAUGGGCUUGAAAGAUGGAUCAACAUUCAGCUCGUGGCAGAUUACGUCGAUGCUCACUCCAGGUAGAUCUUCAGCUGACCAGGCGAAGGUGUUGAUGUUCUCUUUGAGGAAUGAGAUGAGCUCGGUCUUGAUUUCCUCGCUUAAGUCGCUGCCAAUUUCCACGCAUCGUUCAGGCCGUUCGUCCUCGAGGCUAAUGGAGAUUACAGGAUCCGAGGUAGGCUUCUUCUCCUCGCGCGCCUCCUCGAUCUGUAAUUGCUAUAACUGUUUAGAUAUAGCCUUCUCUUCACUCCGGCCAAGUUUCGAUUUCUUGUGAUCGGUUUCAGCCUUCGCUUCAGUGACAGGGUUUCGGAGUUUGUGUGCUGCCAUGAAACACAUCCGAGAAUUUUUCUGACUGCCCCAUAUCGUUUUCACGCCAUUAGGGGUCGGGAAUUUGACACACAGAUGAUAUGUCGAUGCGACAGCUCGCAUUAGAUUUAACCACGGGGUUCCCAUUAUGAUGUUGUAGAUGGUAGGUCGGUCGGUGACUGAGAAGUUGACUGUCUUUGUUACCCCGCCGGCUCGGACUGGUAGUUGGAUGGUUCCAAGUGUCAUCAGAGUUUCCCUUGAAAAUCCGAGGACAGGCUUCGGGGUCGGAAUCACCUGUGACAUGUCGAUGUUCAUUCGUUGGAGCGUUUCGCGAAAGAUCACAUCAAUGGUGCUGCCGGUGUCAAUUAACACUCGGUAAAUAUCAUGAUCUCCUAUCGCUAAUGUGACGACGAUUGGAUCGUUAUGUGGCAUGUCGAGCCCGUUUGUCUCGCUUUCUUCGAAUGUGAUCACGUCGUUAGGUCGAUCGAAGCGUCUUGUCCAGUUGCUAGGCGUCUCGGCUCGGCGUUGAUAAGCUUUGAUUGCCGCUACGGUAUCAGGACAGUAUGGCGAUCCGCCCAUUAUGGUAAGAACCUUCUGCCGCGUACCAUCUCGGUCUUCGUCUUCCGACCCCCGGGUUCUUUUCUGAGACUCCUGGUUCCUUGGUUCGGGGUCUCUUCCUGGGUUGGUCUGCUCGGGCUCCGGUUCUGGCUCGAGGUCCUUAAGAGUAACGUUUGUCCCGAGCUCUCCAGCUAGGAAUUUGGUUGCUAACUUGGCUCCGAGGCUUCGGCAUCUCGAGGUAUGAUGGCCGAAAAUUUUGUGGUGUUCGCAAUAUUCUUGAUCAUUGCUCGGUGGCUGAUCCCUUGUCCAGGUGAAGGACUCUCUUCCUCGCCCACGGCCUCGGCCUCUGCCGCGGCCACGGCCUCGGGGCGUGUCAAUCUGAUAGCUAUGGUAUCCUGAAAAAUUGCGCCCCUCGUGAUGCGUAUACGUACCGCUCUCACGCGUUUUCUUCUGGACCGAAGGUGUCGCUUGGGUUUUCUCGGUUUUCUCGGUUCGGGGCGCCUGUUUUGUUGGCUCGUGCCUCUUUGCUAGUAGCGCCAUUUCUUCUUCGUGGGCGACGAAAUCCGAGGCUCGAUGCAGCGCGUCGCGAAUUGUUGUUGGUUUAGACAGGUUUAACUCUUUCCUGAAUUCUGACUUGUACCAGAGAGCUUUCUUCAAAGCCGAGAGAGCUGCUACAUCUGUAAUUCCUUCGACUUUGGCUAGCGUCGAUUUGAAGGUCUUGAGGAAAUCCCUUAAUGGCUCGGUGGGCUGUUGAGACAAGGACCAUAGAUCCGCGUCGGAAGUUCCGGGGUCGAUGAGCACGGAGUAUUGUUUGAGGAACAAUGUCGACAGCUCGUCGAAACUAUCAAUCGAGUUUCGUUCCAAUCUUGAAAACCACUCUAAUGCGGGUCCUUUGAGAUGUUCCACGAACAGUAAGCACAGACCCGCAUCCUUUUCCCCGGGCUUGAACCUGGCUCGGGCCACAGAUAUCACGAACGAUUUAAUGUGGCACUUCGGGUCGGUUGAUCCGUUGUAGGAGUCGAUUCUGAACUUUCCCAGGUUGGACAUCGUCGUCUCAGAAAUUCUUUUGGUGAAGGGCGUAUUCCGAGAUUCUUCCAAAAUUCGGUCGAUGUUCGGCGCGGAGGAUGAGACGCUAUGUAUCUGGGUUUUGACGAGCUUCAUAUCGGCUUCCGCCUUGGCUAGGGAGGCUCGGAUCUUGCUUAGCUCGCCUUCUCUUUCGGAUUCUUCGGCCCACCUUAUGUUUUCCUCAGUUUCUUCGUCAUCAGUGAGAUCUGUUCGCUCGGCGGAGUUAGCUCCGGCUCGGGUACGCUCAUCUUGCAGAUCAUCUGGCUCGUCCGUCAAGUCCACUGCGUCCGGCUCGGUGGGAUCAUCUUGGUUCUCGCGCCUGGCAGGGUCGGCUCGGGUUGCGACUCUGGUGUUGCCGGUUGGUGUCGCGAACGUGAGUCUCGUUGGGUUGAUGCCAGGCAAGUCCCUCCGAGCUCGUGGUGGCCGAGUUUGGAAACGUGUGGUUUUUUGUUGCCCGCGUGUUGCGAUUUCGUCGACUCGCUGCGCCAAGGUUUGGUUGGCUUUCUCUUGGUCGUCAGUUUUCUUCUGAAAUUUAACCAUCAGAUCUUUCAGUUCGGCUAGAGUCGCUAGGAUCGUCGGAUCGGCGGCUUGAGGAUUCUGAGGGUUCGGAGGGUUCGGGAUUCCUCCUCCAGCUGGUGGCGUCUGACGGCCGUCUUCGUUCAUCGUCCUUUUCAGUAAUCGAGUUCUGCGUCUUAGGGUAAGAGAAUUCUAAAGUAUCCCCACAGACGGCGCCAAACUGUGGAAGUCGAAACUAACACAAUCAAGAUUUGUCUAGGGUUUUAUUUUAGGGAUACGAUAAUCGUGAAUUCUCAAAGAACAACAGAAACGAUUGAUACCAAAGAUGGUGUUCUUGAUAUUAUUAAUGAAAAGAUGAUUUUGAUCGUACAAGAGUUUGAUCGUAAAAGAAAAAGGUGUUUGUGCUGUGAGAGCUUUGCGUAGUGUAAAUUCUAGAGCGAUAUUCCUUGCCCUUCGUUUGAGCCUUGAGUCUCUUUAUAUAGGGACGAUAAACCGCCUCUCCAGCGAUAUUCUCGGAAGAUUUCCAUUUAUCUUGAAGUCGGCCAGAAUAUCGCGGAUUAGGACAAUUUCCUUAUUCUUCGGAGUUUUCGGAAGAUUUCCUGAUUUGAGUUGAUCCUUCGCGAUUCUUCCUUAUCAUUUCCGAGUUUAUCGGAAAUGAUCCUUCUUUUUCGGAAAUGAUAACUUGCUUGGAAAUGAUACCUUUAGAGAAGAAUAUUUACUAAGUCUUUGCUUCGGGCGAUGAUGAAGACUUCGCCUCGGGGAACUUAUGCAACUGGCUCGGGUACACAGGAAGAACCGGCUCGGGCACUCUAGGAUGGCUUCUUCGGGUGUCCCCGAGGCGAUGGGCUCAGAAACUCCCGAGGCGACCAGGCUCGGGUACCCUCGAGGCAAUUGGGCUCGGGUGCUUCCGAUGUCUUGUUCAGGAUAUCCCCGAGGCGAUGGGCUCGGGUACCCCCGAGGCAAUUGGGCUCGGGUGCUUUCGUCGUCUUGUUUAAGUAUCCCCGAGGCGAUGGGCUCGGGUACCCCCGAGGCAAUUGGGCUCGGGUGCUUUCGUCGUCUUGUUUAAGUAUCCCCGAGGCGAUGGGCUCGGGUAUACUAAAUCGAUUAGACAGAUAUCCCGAGGUGAAUGAUGCGAUGCCCCGAGAUGAUCUCUGAAAGACUCCCGAAGUGUUCUAAGUCUGGCUCGGCGCCAAAGGGUGGAACCCGACCCCAACAUUGUCCGUUGUCACAUGGUAAAUUCGGUAGAUACACUCUUUUAUGUAGGUUAGGAAGUUUUGUACCUUAGAUGUGUAGUCUUUGGAAUCAUGGAAUAGAAGAGUAAUCUAUAAUUUAACUUUUAAGAGUUCAAACUCAUCGUGUUAAGGGUUCAUACCCUUUUUUUAGUACGAAAGUUUAGUUUUCAAAUCAGAAUAUCUAAAAAUUGACUUUGGAUAUUAGAAGACAGUAUGGACCGAAAGUUCGGAACUUCCACAGUUUAUUAAAAAAAUAAAAUUCAUAAUCUGGUCUCAUAUUUUGAUAUAGGGUUUAACCAGUUAAACUAUCGAUUUUUAUUUCUGCUAACGUACUUAUGUUAUUAUUCACACAAAAUAAUAUUGCUUUUUCAUCAUUUACACAAAAAUAUUAUUAUGUUUGCGAUUGGCAGUGGCGGAUCUAGAAACAAGUUUUAUAGGGGUCAAAAUAAUACAAAAUUUUUAUGAUGAACAAUAAAUUAAAAAAUUAUAUGAAUUAAAGGGGUCAUUUGGAAGUUAGAACAAAAAUUUAUAGGGGUCAAACACUAAUUUUAACCAAAUAUUUCCUCAAAUUCAAUCAAAUUUACACUAAAAAUAAAUAAUAUAUAAAAUUUAUAGGGGUCAUGUGAACCCACUCCCUCCUUACCUCCGCCACUGGUGAUUGGUGUUUACUUAGUAAAAGCGUGUUAUAGAUGAAAUGAAAAUGUUUUUGUGUCUGGUAGUGAUAUCUUUGUCAAAUAUGAAAUUAGGCAGUAACAUGAGCAAUUUAGGCUUUUUUUUUCAAAAAAAAAUUGAUUUAAAAAUAUAUUGUUUUUGAACUUUAUUCUGUAUUUUAAAUAUUUCUGUUUCAUUUAAAUUUAAGUUUUUGAUUUUUAUUCAUAUAUUAAAUUAGUUUACAAUUUAAAAAUUCCUUUUUACUAUAGUUUUAUGAUUUUUCUCACAAUUCAUAGCUCAUACUACGGAAUCGCGACGACUUUUCUACUAAGACCAACACAAAUUCCUUACAAGCGACGAAGUUUCCAGCGAUAGUAUAUUUUCUCGCAACAUCAUUUUAAGGUUUGUGACGGUGAACUUACUGUCAAUGAUUCACAAAUCUUGAAAGAGAUUUACGAGGAUCAUUUUGCAAUGGAUCCACUAUAAAAUUAUUUUUUCGCAAAAUUUGUGAGAGAAUUGCUACGAAAUACUUUCUUGAGAAUAGCAUUUUUUUUUGUAGUUUAGCUUAAAUCAUAACCUUUUAACGAAUGUAUUUUUAUAAAUGCCAUUCAUUUUAAAUAUGUAAUGUAAUACUAAGAUUGGGUGAUUGAUUAACACCUUAUCUACCAAUGGCUUUUAUGAAUGUGCACUUAAGCGCUAGAGGUAAACUAGCUUCCAUUACCCGUUAAUCAAACUAAAUUGUACCCUUGAAAAUAUAUAGGUUAUUGACCAUUAUUUGCACAAUGGCACGGUUCAUUUAAUCGAUUUCAUGUCGUUGGUCGGUAGUUCGCUCUUUUUCUAUGUCAUAGACCUUUGUACAGUCCAUUAACGUACCAUUGUAUGUUGUGUUAAGGGGUUAAGUAAAUCAAAAAAAAAGAAAGUAUGCAUGAUUUGAGUUCGAGAUUUAUCUCGCAGCCAGAAGGUUUUUCUUUAUUCUUUCUAACUCUAUUAUGCUUUGUUCUCAUGUAAAACCAUUUUGAGGAUGAGAGCUUUAUUGCACAUUUUCAUGUUUUGAUGUACUUAACCCCUUAACAUAAAAAUGUUGAGUCUUACUUGUUGAAUCGAGAUAUUGGAAUGUAAAUUGAGUAGUGACUAGUAGCAUUCCUAUUACAUUCCCAAAAUUCUUCACGGAUCUGGAUAAUGACCGUUUUUGUAUAAGAUCAGAUUUUUGAUGGUUUUUUGGGAUUGGUAAUUGAACAUCUAGCGAAAUAGAUGUUAGCUUAAAGAUUCUUAUAUAAUUUUACAUAGAAAAUGGUCUAGAAAUAUCAUAUUAAGAAGAAAAGUCAAAAUAGUAAGUUUUGCAAGAAAAGUAUGAAUAACUCUUAUGUAAAAGAUGCAUGUUUAAAAGGUUGUAUGCACAAUAUUAUUUGGACAAAGUCUAAUUGGGCUGCCUGCCUCUGUCCCCCUGUACUAUAUCGUUUCAACUCGGUUCUCCCUGUACUUUCACCCUCUACCUAUUUUCCCUAUACACAUGAUAUUCUUCACAACGCGAUUUAGUGAUUUUAAAACGCAUUUAAGGAGCUUAAUUGAUUUUGGAGAAUUAGGUAAAAUUUUAUAAAAAUGGGUAGAAUUGUGAAGAAUAUCAUGUGUAUAGGGAGAAAUAGGUAGAGGGUGAAAGUACAGGGGGAACCGAGUUGAAACGAUAUAGUACAAGGGGACAGGGGCAGGCAUCCCAGUCUAAUUAGACAAGAAAUAAUCUUACAUCUGAAAGAAAUAUUAUGGACUAGACAUUCAAUGCCUCGAGUGAUUAUAUGAUAAUUAUAUGAAUUUGUUCAUUAAGGUUCUACUUAUAAUAAUUUCUAUAUAUAUGAUCGGAAUGUAAAUCUUGAAGAUGAUGUUUCCGGAAGAAGAAAUAUGAUUAUGUGCGUGAUUGUACUAUUUUUUUCCUAUCAUGGUUUUUGUUUCAUUGAGUUUUCCCCUUAAGUACUAGUAGUGGUCAUGAAACUUCAUAAAUAUUUUUGGUUAAAAACCUAAUACGCACUUAUUGCUAAAAUUUGACUCUCUAAAAACUUCAUUUUGGUGAUAUCCAAAUCCAUUCUCAUAUAUAUAUAUAUAUAUAUAUAUAUAUAUAUUUAUAUUUAGUGCAAAAAUAUAAAAAGAUUUCAAAACAGUCUGAUUUAAAUUUUGUUAAAAAAAUAUAAAAAUCAACAAGAAAAUCAAUAAUGAGUAGUGGACAUAUAAGAGUUAAAAAGUUGGCAUUAAUUAUAUAGAAUUACAAGUUGACAUGCUUCUCCGUUAUGAAAUAAGGUGCUUUAUCGAUUCAGGCACUUAAAAUAUUGGAAGAUAAGAUGCAAAAAUCAAGCUUAUAAUCAUUAUAAGUGCUGAUCUAAAACAAAAUAAAUUUAUUAAAAAGAUCACCUCGUUACCCCCAUCACUUAUCAUUCCUAUUAUCUGUCAUGUUUCUUUAUUAUUUAAAGGCUUAUCUAGAUUGAACCCAUUUUACUAUAUAAUUAUGAGUUUAAAUAGUUUUAUAUUAAAAAUUCACCUUUUUACUUUAUAAAGUCCAAAAGAUUUAGAUGAAGACCGACUGUUUUUGGCUUAGGCCAGAGAACAUAAUGUGACCUUAAAGCCAAAGAUAAACAUAAUGUGACCUUACACAGAGACAACCCAUCAAAACCCUUCUUGUGUUUUUUUUAACUAAUAUUACGAAAAGAUAUUUUCUAUACAUCUCCAACUAAUUUGGCCAUGGAGGCUGGAGCACCAAUUUAUUUCUGGUUUAGGAAACAAUCUCUUGAUUUUCUAUAAAGAAAUCUUCAGAUUUUCUUUAUCUCUCCCAGCUUAGUUUCAACCGAGUUAGAAUCUUACGAGUGCACUGUCCAAAUUGAUUGUAUAUAUUUUUUUGUGUAUAACUUGACAUUUCUCUGUUUCCACUGCCACAGUCUCAUUAAUUUUAGUUUAAAAUAUUUAGAUUUAGUGACUAAUUUUAAUACUGAAUUUAAGAUGUUGGAAUUAUGAUUUAAAUGUCAUGCGUUCGAGUUCAUAUAUAUAAAAAUAAUCAAAAGUGGCAAUUGAAAUUAGACAAAAAAAAAUUGGGAACUGAAAAUGAUAACAAUAAACGGUGUUUUUAUAGAAAACAACUUAGAGCAUGGUCAUCAAGGAAGUUUUGAUGGACUUCUCAUCAUUAAAAAAAUAUUUAAUCAAAAAGUAGAGAUAUUGAUAUACGGUUUUCAUGAGAAACAUUUUUUACUUUUUAACAUAUCCAUUUAACACUUUUUUUUUGUUCUAUUAAUUUAACUUUUUUAUGAUUUAAAAAUUAAAUAAAUAAUAAAAAAUAAAAUAAUAUAUUUAAGAGGCUCAAUGGGUUCUUACCGAUACAAAUGCUUUUAUAGAAACAUAAUAUAUUGCAAACAACAACGUUAACUUUUAAAGUUUCUAAUUUUUUUUGAAAUUCGGAAAUUGAAUGAAAAUUAAUAAAAAUAUGUGAAAGUUUCCAAAAAAUACUUGAAAUUUUUCAAAAACUUUUGAAAUUUCUAUUUUUUUUCUCAAAAUGUCCAACAAUUUUGGUAAGAAUAUGGUAAACAAUACUCAUCAAAAAAAUUUAGCACACGAUGCAAUGAAAGUUCCAAAAACGAAAAGUUGCUAUCUAUUCCUGAUUGUUUUUGUUAACAAAAUGUGAGUUAUUUGAGUAAAUUUAAUUUCGAAACGACUUUAUUUAAUGAAUAUAAGCCUGUCGACAGAAAAACUACAUAUAUAAAAAUUCCUUCACCUAAAAUAUAAAUAAUUCUGUUGACAAAAGAAAGUAUACAUAUAAACUGUUAUAAAAAUUGUAGCCAUCAACCCACUUUCACCCUCUUUCAUAUGACUUGCAAUGUGGUUUUCUAUUAGACUCGUGAUAAAAUCAUUAGUCUUGGCAAAUGGUUAAAAAAAAAAAACUAGUUCUAACGUUAAAUGUUGUUUGAUGCAGUGCAUUUCCACUUCGUUUUGAGUUUGUAUUUCUUUGAUUCUUUCCAUUAUUUUUUAGAAGUUGACUUUGAUGAUUUCCAUAUUUUGGAGUUGAGUUUGGAUAGAAUUUUUUUAUUUCUUUUUUCUGUUAAAUGUUAUUAGCACAAAAAAAAAAGUUCCCCUCAAAUAGAGAGUAAUUGAAGGUUACAGAAUAGAUGACAAAAAAAUAAAAUAAAGGUUACAGAAUAAUCCCCAAUCGAGUACAAAAAAUUACAGAUUAGUAAUAAAAAAAAAUUCCAAUGGGACGUUGGGGGAGAAGCACUUUGAGAAAUCGCUCUUCUCAAGCAACGAGGAUAAGAUUCAAUGGAAAUAAUACAAUCUCUAAUUAAAAGUAAUAAAGUUUAUUUUGUUUUUGUUCUUAUAGAUUAGUCAAAGAAAGAGUAUCAUUUGGGGGUCAUGGGCUCAUGAGGCCCGAGUGUCGUCUGCUUUCAGAGUGUUGGAUAGAUGAAUAAUCAUGCAUGUUGUACAAUAUUAGUAUAUUACAGUAAAAUAUCCAAAUAUUGUAGUUCAACGCAAGGCAACUCGAAAAUGUGUCGCUAAUUUUGAAAUAACUUGCAACCUAUUUCAAUUUGUAAUUAUCAAGAAAACAAAAAUUAAAACUCUUCAUUAUACUCAUUACAAAAUCGUUUCAAUUACAAAUCCCUCAUGUCACUCAAAAAUAAGUACUCUCUCAGGAAGCUUAACUAGAUAAGUCUCCCUUCACGGAUCAAGUGGCUUUAAAACUAAUUGAACUCCAUACUUAGGUUUUAUAGUAAGCACAACUAUAGGAGCAUGUCUAUAAUUCUCCGAUAUUUCGAAACUGAAUUUGGAAACAAGCAUUGCUAAUAUUAUCUUCGCCUCCAUCAUCGCAAAAGUCUGGCCAAUGCAGUUCCUAGGUCCAGCUGCAAAAGGCAUGAAAUGGCGACUAGAUGCAAAACUUCUAGUCGUAAAUCGUUCAGGGUUGAACUCGUUCGCAUCUUCGCCCCAUAAUUCUUUACUAUGAUGGAUAGCAAGGACAGGGAUCCAUAUAGAUAAACCUUUAGGGAUGAUUAGGUCACCUAGUUUUAUGUCUUCAAAUGCCAUUCUUGGUAAAAGAGUAGCAGGAGGGUAAAGUCUUAGUGACUCGUUUAUCACUUUGUUUAACUGUUGAAAAAAAGAAAAAUAAAGAGAGAAAGAUAAGUUAGUUGAAUAUUAAAAUAUAUAAAACCCUUUUAAGAUAUCAUAUCUAACAAUCUUGUGAAGUGCCUUAUGACUCUUUCUCAAGGAUCUUUACUUGAUUUUAAGAAUUGCCUUUCAAUCUGUCAAAAUCGUUUAAUGAAUGAUUUCUUUUAGUAUUUUAUGCAAAGCAUGUUGUAGUGUUAAUCUUUUCAACAAGUGGAAUAUUUUACUUAUCUCAUUAUUAAAAUAUACCUUAGUUCAAUUUAAAUGUGGAAAGGCAAUUCAUCAUGAGUCUCUCUAUUGGUCUAUCUAAUAAAAUGAAGCAAUGCCAAUGUUAAUUUCACUUAGUCUAAUAACUAAUAAAUAUCUGCAAUUUGUUGUAUGUCAUACAUGAAAUGAAUGAUCUGACUUGAAACUAUAUAUAACAAUUAAUGAAAUAAAUCAAUAAUACAUUAACAAUUUUUGUAGAUAUAUCAUAUUAAAGUUGACCAGAUAUGUACUAAUUGAAAUUUAGUUACGGAAGAAGCACUACGACUUAGUGGCAUUGCCUGUAGUGUGUUGAAUGAACGUAGUACCCCACCCGCACCCAUAAAAAUUGGCGUUACAAUCAAAAAACUUUUUUUUUAAAUGAAAGAUAUAAUUGUGAUUCUAUCCUAAUUCUCGACCAAAGUCAAAACUUUAGUAGACAUGUGUAUAUGCAUAACAACGCAUAAGACAUUAUCACAUAUGUUUCAAUUGUUUGAAGUGUUAUACUACUUCUUUUAAUAUCUCAUAUUUUUAUUUUUAAGAAAUUAUUUUAUUUUGUAAAAUCGUAAUGGAAACGUGAAACUCAUAUGAUCUUUCUCUUUCCGUUUGCUUUUAAAUAUUCAAAAGACUUCUGAUUUUUUUGGGUCAACUAACCUUUACUUAUUUAUUUGCGUAGGUUUAAAGGCGAACCAAUAAAGAAAAAAAAACAGAUAACGAAUUCUAGCUUUACGAGCGAGAAAAUUACCUACCUCAAGAUUAGACAAACAAAGAUAUAAAACAAAAUAGAAAGAAGAAAGACUCUAAAAGCUGCGGUUUUAUGUUAAACACGAAUAAAAAUCAUUAUUUUAUAAUUCAUUAGGCACUAAUCGAACUUUCGAGAAGGACAUAACGCCUAAUCAAUCAAUCAAAGAUUAACUGGAAUUUAUAUUUAAUAUAUAUUAUUUAUUUUUUAAUAUUUUGUUUGCAUAAAAUUAAAAAUAUGAUGUUAAUUUUUUAGAUAUUUCUUUUCAUUCUUAAUAUUUUAUUAUUAAGAUAUUAGAAAUAUAUUAACCAUGAUUUCGGAUGCCUAAGCUAAAGUAAGACAAAUGAUAAGAAUUAACCAUUGUUCCAUUAAAAAACGACGAAGGAAGGUGAUAGUGUGAGUGAAAAGAACGUACCGAAGUAAGACUUGAGAGCUGUUCAACGGAGGGGACACCAUCUUGGCCACAAACUUGCCUGACCUCAUCGCGGACCUUGUCCUGCCAUGUGGGAUUAUGAGCAAGGAGCAUGAGAGUCCACGUGAGGAGAAGAGAAGUUGUCUCAUGACCGGUGAAGAAGAAAGUCUUGCACUCAUCCAUUAUCAUUUGAACAUUAAGGUUGUUCUUGUUGCGAUCCAUCUGGUUCAAUAGAAGCCCUAAGAGGUCAUCUCCAUAGGAACUACUCCGACCGAUCUCUACACUGUCUCUUCGGCUCUCUAUAAUCUCCAUCAAAAGACGUUCCACUUCCGUUUUAAGAGACUUUAUCUCUCUAUUGUAUUUGCUCGGUAGAAACCUUUUUGAGACACAAAGAUUAAUUACACGUUAAAGUCAUUAAUUAGAUGCAUGCAACGUUUUUACGUUGGCGCUAGCAAAAAAACAGAAAUAGUAAAAUAUGUCAGUGGAUAUAUUUAAAUUAACGUUUCAUUAAAUUAAGUAAAAUAUACUAAUAAUACUUUAUUAUUCUUUUAGGAUAUUUUAUUUAAUAAAAAAGCCGCGAAAUGGCAAAUUUUGUUUCUUUCAAUUUUAGUCUUAAAAGUUUGUAGAAUCGUAGAAUGAUUUAAGAUAACUUGCAAUAUUCAUACACAAAAAAAAAAGAAAGAUUUGUGAAAAAAAAACAAAAGAUACUUACCGGCUACCGGGAAAACAGAGGUGGCGAGUGGCUUGAGCACAUAGACGUUGAAGAACAGUGAGUAGACUGAAAAGCUCCUUUCCUUUGUCACAACUGCUUCCAAACUCGGUCCUCGAUAUUAUAUCCGCCGUGAGCCGCCGCAUCUCCUCUCCGAUUUCCACCUCUUCCCCAACCUCCUUUCUCAGCCUCUCAGCCAUCAUCUUCGUGCACUCCACCAUAUGCUUCGCGUAUCCUUUGAGCCUAUCACGUGUGAACGCCGGAGCCGCCAUGUGGCGUUGGUGGUGCCAAGCCUCGCCGUUGGCCAUGAGGAGCCCCCGCCCUAUAAACCCUUUAGUUCCUUGUUGUUGCAGCCACGAUUUUCCGGUGACCGGAUUGUGCUUCGUUAGCAAUUCCUUAAUCAUCUCCGUCUCCGUUAGACAUAGCCUCGGUUCUGUCCCGUUCCACACUAUAAAUCUCUUUCCUACAAGAGGGCAUUUCAGUCAUUUUCGAUUGCGUAGAUGUGUAAUCCAAUAGAAAAUGCAUUGUAGGCAUGUCCGGUCCAAAGCAUAAGCAAAGGAAACUAUAAUUAUCCGCUUCAUGUUUGAACGUUAAUAUUUGGGGAAAAAAUAUUAAAUUUUAUUUUUCAGGUAACAUAAUAGCAUAAAAAAAGACGUUUUCUAAAUUAUAGACGGACAUCCAAAAACGUUGAACGAGCGUUAAUGGUGCAUACCGUAUUGUUUGGACCAAGAGACAUAAUGAGGAAGAAGGCGUGGGACGAUGUUAUGGUGGAUGGAGGAGCAGUCGUUAGAAGCGGAUUGAGAGAGCAUUUUGGAGAUAUCGAUGAUGUUUCCGGUAAGGAGACGGGGUUUAGGGCCGGUGAUGCCUUGACGUUCCAUAAACUUCUUGAUGCGUCUUGGUGUGAGGAAGUAGCAACAAAUGGAGUCGUAUAGGACUCUCAAUAUCAAGGUCAUGACUAUCACGAGGACAUACUUUAGUACUAAUGUAACCAUCAUCUUUAAUUUCUUUGUUUUAUUAAAAAAAUAAACAAGAUUUUGAGAAAGAGAGAAAGAGAUUGUUUGGUAAGAGAUACGGAACAACAUUGUUGAGUACCAAAGCAUCUAUUUAUAGUGCUGCAGAGGCUGCAGUGGAGUUAAAACGGUAUUAAUUCAUUCUUGUUAUUUUAUUUUAUUUAAUCAUUUACUUUCUCAAAAAUGUUUUCAACUUUUUAAAAACAAAGACUUAUUUAUUUGUAUUUUUUUUCCGGGACUUCAUUUUUAUUAUAGAAAAACACGUACGGAGAAGAAAAUUCGUCGACUAAUGGCAGAUCCUAAAUUCAAUUAUUAUUAUUAUAACAGAUAUUGUGGCUAGUGUUACACUUUCUAGUUUAUGAUUUAUGAUUUCAGCUGUAAGUAAUCCUUCGAAUUUUGUGUGUUUCAAUGAAAUUAAUACUCUAUAAGUAUGAUUGGUGAAAGUUAGUUGUUAUCUAGAAAACUGUGAAAUUUAAUACAUUCAUUUUUUUUUUUUUUGAUAAAAUACAUUCAUUUUAUUUAAAAUUAGAUUUUCUUGUAAAGAGAGUAUAGUUGAGAGAGUAGUAGAUUUUUUUAAAAUAACGAAUUAUACAUAUAUAUCUACAUAUAUUUUAGUAACGAGGAUAUAGCAUAUAGCUGGAAAUAUUAUUUAUGUAGAAAUAUGAUCAUCAAUUGCAACUUAUAAAUAUGAGAAAUUGCACUAAAUAUUUAUCCACUAAAAACGUUGGGGACAAAAUUUGCGGUUCACACGAUGCAUUACAAAUAUUUAUACUAUCAAGAAAAUAAGAUCGGGUCAAUCAUUUAUGGUACGAUAUACUAUUUGAUUUUGUCCGAUAGUUACUUUUUUUUUUGUGUGUGGGUACAGCGUUAGAUAACUAUUUAAAUCGCUUUUGCCUUUCAAAAAAUGCGUAACUUUAUUCUUGCAAAAUGUAUCUGAGUCAGAUCCAAAAUUUCAUUCUUUUCCAUAUUAUUGGCAAUAACCAGAUUUAUAUUUUACAUGCUUAUCCACUUGUGUGAUUGAAAUCGACUUGGAUGACUUAUUUAGAAUGAAUUUGGCCGGCUUGGGCAUUGUGGAAAGAUGACGGAUCAGGAUCGAUGCUCUCCCGAAGAAAGCGGAAUGUACAAUGACCGUCUUACACCAUGUACAAGUGAGUAGCCGAACAUAGUCCAGAGUAGAAAAUAAAAAUUUGUAUACAUAUAAACUAGAACCUAUAAUAUUUUAGAAACUAUUUGAUCACAUAUUUAAAUUUGUCUCUCAAAAAUAUUUUGAACUUGGUAUAUAUAUAUAAUUUGAAACGGUUCUAUUAAACAGUCCAAUCAACGUGGGGUUUAGAAGGUGAUUGCCACUCGCUAAUGGAUGUGUUGAGUAAGCAUAAAUCAACUAAGUUACACCUAUGCCAAUUUUUCACAGACAAUUGGUGCCGGAACUGGUAUUUCUGGAUAGUCGUAAUGAUAUUUACAAAAAGAAAAGAUAAACAAAGUGUAGAUCGAGUAGCUAAAAGAAAACUGUAAUUCGUGACUCUUGUUCCAAAACAACGUUUAAAUAUAAUAAAAAUGACAUUUGAAAAACAAAAUCUUUUUCAUUCGAGCUCUCUUUUAUAUAGAUUUUCUUACUAAUAGCAUUUUUAACUUGUCCUCCAGUAAUUUGUAAUUGAUAGUAUUGAUGUUAUAACUUAAUUAAGAUGUUUUAAUAUAAUCUAAUACUUAAUGUUUAAAAAUAUUAAUUUGUUCUAAAGAAUUGAUAUUGUUACAUAUAUGUCGAUUUAUAUACUUUUAUGAUUAGAAAGAAGAUUUGCCGUCAAUUAGAAAAGCAAAAGCAGUGAUGGGUAAAGAUUGCGUAUCUUGGGAAAUGAAUAUGAAAAGCAAAGAAAACUUAUACACAUCAUAAUAAUCUUGAGAAAACUAGCUUGCCCAGAUUUCUACAAUCCACUAAAAAAAUUAAAAAGAAAUAAGAUAAACAUAUCUGAAUAUUCUUUCAAAGAUUAUCUUCACUGUUUUAUUUACUUUUAUCGUCACUUUCUCCUUUGAAGAACAUGUUUGGUGACAAAGUCAUUCCGUAACAACCGGUUAUAUGAAGGAAUUUAUUGUACACGUUUAUAAAUAAUGAAGAAAUGACACAACCCUUGAAUCAGGGAUGUUUCCUUCACUUUGAAUUUACAUAUUGAGCUUAAUUCGUGCUAUAUACUAACUAGUGUUGUAAAAAAUGAUUUGGAUGACCGUUUGUCUAAACGGACAUUCUAGACAAACAGGCUUGGUGACGGUUGUGUAAUAUGAUACCUAAAUUUUAGUAACUCGUUAGCUGAAUUUCGAUCAUGGUAGAUGUCUUGUAAUUGUCUUAUAGAUGUUUACUAACAAAGAAAAAAAUGAUUUGAAGGAAAUAUCGAUUAUAGAUGUUAUAACAACUAAAAAGGAAAAUGUUUUGAAGGCUAAUAUCGAUAAUAACAAAAUAGUUUGAAGGCUAAUAUCGAUAAAAACAAAAUAGUUUGAAGGCUAAUUCAUUCUUCAUAUGAAACAGGGUAAACUAUGGUUCAAAUUAGAUAAAUUAUUUCUAAAAUUAAGAUUUGUGCGGUAAUUUUGCUAAUUUCAAAAGUUCAUAUUUUAUUUUGGUUAAUUAGUAUAAUUUUUCCUAAUGACUGCAUAAUGUUCAUAAUUUUUUUCUAGUUUAGUAUUAUCGAUCAUAACCUAUAUACAUUAAAAUCUUUUUUCUCAUGUUAAGUAACUCAUCAUGUGAACAAGUAAGUGUGUGAGAAUUCUAUCUGGAAACUUCCUAAUACAACCAAAAUAUAUUUCAAGAUACUACUAUUCGAAAAUGUCACUAGACUAAAAUUUAUCAAAUGGAUAUCUAAUAAAGAAUCUAGCCGAUCAUUCUCAUAGUGAGUGACAUCCGAAUAGAUAUCGUUAGAUUAGAUACGUCAAGAUUCCAAUUUCCAUUAAAAGAUCAGAAUGUAAGUAAUAUAUAUAUAUAUAAUUAGUAUUAUUUAGUCAAAGAUUGCAGAAUCCACAAAGAUGAUCACAAAACCUUAUUUCAAAUUCAAAAUGAGACUCAACAAUCUUUCUCUACAACGUGCAACACAAUCCCAUCGCAUGCCAUGUAAAAAAGUGGAAACUUGUAGAACAAUCAAUCCCCAUAUUAUUAUUAAGUUUCAAAAGAGACCUCAUAAUUUUCUUUGUUAUCAAUACAUACCCAUUUUGUUUGGUCAAGUCAACAAAUGAUCAUUCUCUUUUCUUUGCCAUGAUAAAAUUAGACGGUAAGUACUUUAUGCCUCCAACUAAUGUACCAACAACCAUACUCUAAUCAAUAAAAUUUUAAACUUAAACCGACUAAUGCUUCUAAUACUACAUUACAUAGUUUGCCGACAGUUUUCAUAGACUUAACUUUUAGCUGUUAUAUUUUUUUCGGAUCCAAGAAACUAAUCAAGAACGACUAAGUUUUUUCUAUUAUAUUGCUAAUAAAUUUGCCUUCUUGAUAUUUUAUGAAUAUUUUUGUGUUACCUUUUGUUGUCAACAUGUAACAUACGGAAUUUGAAUUUGGAUAUUAACACAAAUCACUAUACAGUAUAUUGGUAAAGCCACUAAAACAAGAUGCGAUUGACUCCAUUAAAUUAUAAAUUUACAAUUAAACGUAUUUUAAGUGAUGAAAAAACUUGUAGCACAAUUAAUCACCCGUAACAACAUUUACAUUGCCCCCCUAUAGUGACUAAGUUUGUUCUUAAUCCACCACUGAUUUUUGAAAUUUGUGACGGAAAGUACAUAGAAGAAGAGUCAUAUAUAGUACACUCUGUUAAAUGAUUAAAGGGUCGAUGACCCAAAAAAGUGAUUCAUGUGACUAAGUAUUAUAUCUUAAUCCUAUCAAAAAAAAAAAGAAGAAAGUAUUAUAUCUUAAAUUAUUACGAGAAUUUGCUUCUUCGGGUCAAAAGAAAAAAGAAAGUGAUGAAAAUGGGAGGAAUAAUUAGGAUAAGUAAUAAAUAUUCGACUUUUUGUUUUACUUAUAACGAGCUAUACAUUUACGUAAAUUAGGAUAAGUUAAAUCCAGCGGUGGUUGUAUAGAAAACUAGUCCACAGUUUUUAACACACUUGAAAACAUGUUUUAAGUAGCAUGUGUACUUAAACAUGUUUUCAAGUCCAGUUUUAGAGUAAUAACAGUGGUGAGAAUUCGAAAGAGAGGAGAAAAGGGUCUUUCUUCAUAUAUAUAUUGUUGUAGCAAUAACAGCAUUUGUGGUCUGAUGUGAUUAACUAAAGUUAUUGCAUAUAAUGUAUACAAGUCUAGUUCACAAACUAAGCUAAGCUAUACGUCUAAUAGGCCUCGACCCUUUCUCUUCCAACAAGUGUUCAGUCCCGCGAGUUUUGCAUCAGCUCGAACCACUGCAAAAACAAAAACAAAAGUUGUAUGAUUUUUAAGUCUUUGACAAUGUUUUUUUCUUUUCCUCACAAGGUAAAAAAAGAAAACAGAGAAUGGAUAGUGAAAAGUUACCUGUCUCAACACAUCACCAAGUGUUCUGGGUAAGGCUUCGAUGUCUCUUAGCACAAUGUAGUAUGGGAAGGGGAAGGAAUCCAAGUAAUUCAUUUUCUUAUAGGGUCUUCUUUCACCAUCAUAUACAUAGUCCUGAUUAGAGGAAAAAAGAAGAAGAAGAAGAAGCAGUUUUUAGCACCAUGACAACUACUAAUUUCAAUCUUAUGAAUGUGUAGGGAAGUAAUAGAAUUGGACAUACCGCUAAAUCCAGAACAGAUUGCUCUGAGUCAUCGAGAAGAAGAUAUACCACCAUACGUUUCUGCUGGAGAAAGCUUCUGACAGAUCGUUUCAAUUUCUCUCGCUCAUGGAACUUUCCAUCGCCGAUGAUUAGUACAAGUUGUUGAAGCGGGUUGCUCCCGUAAGACUGUCUUCUUGUGCUGGCCAAAUUCUCUAGCAUUUCAUUCAUGUUUCUCAGUAGAUUGACGACUGGUUGAUCUUCAAUGAGAUUUUCUUGUUUAAAUGUCAAGUUUGAGAUCAUCUGCAUCACGGAAACGAGAAAAGAGGUGUUCUGUAAGCAAUAAGAAGACAAUCCACAGUGCAACACAUGGAAAAUGAAAGAUUUGAGGCCACUAACCUUAAUGCCGGAUUCUGUGGUGAAAGACUGACCAAAAUCAUGUAACAUCUUUAUUUUCCCUUGCUUCCCGAAACUUGCUACAGCCAAACUUCCCAUCUCAAGCUGUGACAUAGCUCGACAUACAGUUGCCAAAGCUCUAAUUGCAAAAUCACCACAUCCACUUUCUGACAUGCUACGGGAAUCAUCCACAGCAAUAACUACUUGAUAAUCACGCUUGUUUGGUUUUGUCCUCCUCAACCAAAUUUUAUCUUUCCGAUAGUGACUUGCUAUGUACGGAAUAACCUUCUUCAUGUUGAUCCUUUUACCUGUUCUGUAGUCACCACUGAGCUUGCUAGCAAGCGUGGGUUCUAAGAUAAGCCGUAGUUGCUCAGCCAGCUCCUGAGAGGGUUUUGCAGUAAGCAAUUCACAUCUCCUCCAAAGAACAACAGCAUUACUUUUGGCAUCUGGAUCUUCCUGAUUAUCCUGAUUGCUUUCCGAGUCAUUAUCAGUCACUUGCAUCCGGUCCAGAUUACAUACAUCUUCCCCCAAGAAAGUAUUGUCGACAGAGACCAUAGAGUCCAUCCUGCUGUUACCAUCACCAAAAUUAUGAAUAGGAGAAUUCUCUUGGUGGGUCCUGUCUGUAUCUGGUUCUUGGACCUGUUCAGCGAUGCUAUUACUGAUCGAUGGUUUGGAUUGGACAGCAGGUUUGUUUUCGGGGUUCAAGUCAUCAAUAUCCAUUGGAGAGACAUCGUCCUGAUUACCUGCGAGUUUUUCUUCUUCAGAUUGCCCUUCUCUCAUAUCUGUGUUCACUUGCUCAGGCAACGCAGGUCCUAGAGCUUGGGAAGUUCCUGCAUCAAACUGAGAAGCAUAUCCAUAUUCACUAGCAUCAGGGUCUUCCAUCUCAUUUUCAGCCUCUUGCUUUUCUCCAAGGUCUGAGGAGAUUCUAACUCUUUCUUUCCACUCCUUCAAUGCAUCACCAACGUUCCUAUAAGGAUUCACCUUGGUUUGUUGAGCAGUAGAUGACUGGUUUUGUGGUAAUUCCAUCUUUGGUAUGUUGUCUGUCAAUGUCUCACCAUUGGCCAGGUUGGUCAUCAUGAGGUUCAUCUCAGUAUUAUUACUCGAAGGCAGAUCCAUUGAAUCCGUGAGUACAUCCGUAACAUCAGUAGCAGACAAAUUUUCUUGUGGUGCUGUACUUCCUGCACCCAACACAUUAGAUCCAUGGGGAUUUUGUGAACCAGACUCUACGCCAGAAAUAUUAUCAUUACGGAAGUUCGGUUUCAUCAUGUCUUCUGACAUAACUUCUUUUCCUUCUAUUGGUUCCGUUUCUGGUUUCUGUUCAUGAUCAUUUCCAGGUUCUUCUUUUUGGGGUGAUCCACACCUAUCUUCAGCCUCAGCCUCCAUAUUUUCCUCAGCAGGCUCUUGAGUUUCAUCUUGAUCAUUUUCACCUUCUUCAGGAUGCUUUUGAUCUUCUGGACAAGGUUCUUCCUGCUGAUCUGCAUCUUCCUUUUCGACCUCCUCUGUUUUGUCAAUCUCCAUGUCAUCAUCAAUUUGUUCAUUAUCGACAUCAGGAGUUAGUCCAGCAAGUGCUUCUUCCUUGGUCUGGAUUUUUUCUUCUAGAUUUUCUGUAUCACCAAAAUCAUCCUGAUCUACAUUCUCAUCGUUUCCUUCUUCCGGUUUGUCAGAAGUAUUGGACUCCUCAGGCUCAUCGGCAGUGUCAACACCAUCAUCCUUAGCUCUUAGCUCCCUUGAUCUUGUGUCCUUGUCGACUAUAGAUGGUCCAGAUUCAUUCUUCUCAUUCAUAUUUUCUUCCCCAUCUUCUUCAUCCUUGUUCCAUGGCUUUUCAUCAGCUUUUUCGGCAUCAGAUCCCGCAUCUCCUAUUGCCGAAUCCAACUGCUCAUCCUCACUUUCUUCAUCUUCCUUGUCUUCUUCUUCAUCCUCACUAACGCUGUAUUCUUUGCCAUCAAAUUCGUCACUCAUCUCAAUGCCUUUGUUUUUACCCAGCACAUCAUCUUGCUCUUUCUCUUCCUCUUCCUGCAAAGAAAACAGAAGAGAACUUAAUUGGUAUAACCCCAUGCAAAAUUCAUUCAGGAUGAGUGGCAGGCAAUAAGGAAAGAGGCGAUAUAAACCUUCUUAUCUGUGCCAUGCAGUUGAUCUUCAUCUUCUAUUUGGUCACUUACAUCUUUUGCCCCCACACCAUCUCCCAUACCAGUACCUUCUGCAGUUUCCGAUUUUUCAGCUUUAGAGCCAUCAUCUUCAUCAUUUUUGGAGAUGCCAAAUCCUUUUGUAAAUAGAUCGGCAAGAACACUUGCAAGGACAUGGGUUAUCAGUGACACCUACAGACCAAAAGCAUUGAUGUUGUUGUCUUAUUGGAAUCAAUUAGCAGAAGGUGAGUAAAUGCCGAGAUCUCUGCACACUAACUAACAUACUUGACAUUAAGGAGGUAGUUGAAAGAAAAUAUAUCAAUUAACAGGAUCAGGUUAGAGAGACGAUUGUCCCGAAUGACUUUGAAAGAACAACAUAAGAUAAACACAUACCGUUUUGCUUAUCGCCAAAAACUCUUUGAGGUAACAGUCUCCAAAGCUCAAUAAAAGAUCCAAAAAUGCUUGAAGUUGCUUCAACUGGUCUCCAACACCAGCUGAAAGGACGCCUGAAGAGUUCAACAGUUGUUCCUGUGAAGAUAACAGCCUCAGUUCAACAUAAGCUUGAAAAUAAAAGGCAAAAUAGCAUUCGCAUACUUCAAAAGACAAUCCAACUUACGAUGGAACCAAAUGAUUCGGACAGCAGUUUACACAGGUUAUCAAGGUUCAAGUCAUUUUCUGCCUUCUUAAACAGACCAUCCCAUGUAGUAAUAUUCAUUUCCUCUUCUUGAGAAACACUUCCAUCUUUAUAAGAACAAAGCUUUCCAAUCACAUCCUUAACAUUUGAAAAUAUACUUGCAAGAUUUUCUUCAAGAAAAAGUCGUUCCUUGGGUUCCAUUCCAGUUGACUGGUCUCUUACGUUAAGUAAACAGUUCAGAUUUUCAGCCAGCAAUUUCCCCUGCAUUAAAUACAUUUCAUAAAUAUGACUCUAAGAACCCUAAACACAAUUUAUUUGCUAGGUUUGCAUCUGGAAAAAGGUAAAAAUAAUCCACUAAGGCUGAAUAAAUACCUCUUUAAACACAGGGGAAAAUUGACUGAGAAGAACGUCUCUAGCAUAGCUUUUCUCAUUGUCUUCACAAAAACUUGAAAUUUGAUUCUCAAGGUCCGUAAGUUGAUCAAAGUUCUGGCGUAGCAUCUGAACCAUAUGCUGAGUGACAAACUGCUUAAGACAGCUACUUGGUGUGAUGAUAAAACCGUUGCAAUCAAGUAGAAGCCUAUCCAGCGAAGCCUGAUGAUAACAACACAUUCAGACUCUUGCAAGAAAUAACAGACCAGAAAGAUUUAAAAGAAGCCCAAGGAUACUGCACCUUGGAAUUUUGAGCGAUGGGAAUUAGUUUUUCAAUAAAGCUGAGCAAACUCCGUGAUGAGGUUUUCACAGCUUGACAGGAAUCCAAGUGUGUACUUCCAACUGUUCUCAGUAAGGUCGACUCCUCAAGAAGCAUUGCAGUGAUGUUAUCAAAGAGUUUCUGCCAUAUCACAAAAAAAAUGUAAAAGCUUAAUCCAGUGUUGUUGCAACAGACAUUCAGGGCACAUCAUUCAAGUUAGAAAGCUGAAAUACCUUCUGUAGCCACAAGCAAUUGAAGAUAGCAUGUUGAUUUUGGGGGAAACUGAACACAGAAUCAUCCUUUUUGUCCACACCAAUUGAGUCACCCAGUAAUCUCGCUAGAGAUAAAACACAUUGGCGAAAGCGGUUUAAAAGUUCGGUAAAGGCAUAAGCAGAUUUCCUUUGCUGCCGUUGUAUUUCCACAAGAUGGUUGAGAAAUGAGAUUGCCCGCUUAACCUGUUAACAUAGGAUAUUUAGUGAAACAACUGGUUUAAAACUGAGACUCAAUGAAGCCCAGAUAUAAAUUACAAGCUCCAAAGUCUACCUGCUCAGCUGUUACAUCUGAGUGUUUUCGGUCAAUAUUUAACAUGAGCUGCACUGAAGCCAAGCUCUUAAAGUAAAACUCAUUUGCCACUCUCCACUCAACUAGUGAAUUUUCCUUGUUUUGAUCUUCUACAGCCUUGGAAGGAUGCAUGCUACUUUCGGUAUGUGUUAGCAGCAACAGAUGCUUUGGAUCGUAUGCUGGCUGAUAAAGCAACCCUUUAAAGUGGUUUGACAUCUAUAAAAGAAGACCAUCAGAGAAUAUAGAUGAUCAAUAAAUAGAGCAUGACUAGAAGAAACAUACACAGAAAUAUCGACAAGCAAAAGUAUAUUACCUCUACAUUUUCAAACUUGUGUUUCUGCAAACCACUACUUUCUAAUAACUUGAGAAGUUCAAACAGGGCCCUCUUCUUUGCAACAUCUCUAUCACUGUUUCUCCAUAGAUCUGAACAGCCAGCUAUGGUUUCACCAAUCCUAGCAACUGUACUCCACAAAUUUUUCCAAUCACCCUGAUAGACAGGGGACGAAUACUGAUGCUCUGCAAAUAUAUUAUGCAAGCUUAAGAAUAUGCAGAUUCCCCAAAAAUAAAGGAAAAUCACCAAAUAGAACCAAGAGUGAAUGGAGCUAGUGUACAAACGAACCUUCACCCAUCAGCAAUGUUUUGAAGUGCAUUUCUUGGUGAAAGCGUCCUACCGAUUCCUUUAAUUUAUUCCACCAUACUGCAUACCAUGAAGACCUACCAAGAAAAAUUUAAAGCAUAAAUGAUGGAGGGUUCAGCUUCCAUAAACUUCUAACAAUGCAUGCAGAAAGGUACAUGAUGCAAAUGUAUACCUGUCAUUCAAUUGCUCUGCAUCUAAAGCACUAACUAGGCCCUCGAUCCUCAUGUCGGAUGCUCCAUUCAUAAGAUCUGGAUCUAGUAGAGGGAGAAAUUGAGUUCGUUCCUUCGUUAGGUCUGGCCUAACAAGCAUUACAGGGAGCCGCAGCAUGUCCUGCUCAACAAAAGAUACCAUUUAGAAAACUUUUUAAUAAGGUCCCAUCAUUUCAACUAAUAUAAGGAAACAUAUAUAAUUGAAUGUCGUCUGUUUAUAUAAUAACCCCCAGAAAAUGAAGAACCAAUAACUUACCGUAAACUUGUGUAUCAGUUUCUUGACCUUCUGCCUGGUUCUUUUAGUGGUCUCAUUGUACAAAUAAUUAUCUGGCCUCUCCCACCGACAAAGUUUUAGAACCUCCUUUAACUCAGUUUCAACAUUUUUUCUAUUCAAAUCUAACUGCUCCAUUACACUGGUAAGAGAAAUUUAAAUUGAGAACACUACCCUGGCCAAAAUAAUCUUGAACUAAUAACCUCAAGCCAGAAAUGGAAAGGAGCUUACAUCGGUAGGAAUUGUAUAUAGAAUCCGAAAAUAUUGUAGCAAAUUUCCACCUUCCUCUUGUGUGAAUCACUGUCAACGUAAAAGCGCGAGUUAAUGGCAAAAAACAAAGACAGUCAAGUUAGAAGUCAACUGUAAAAACAGCGGAGGAGCAACCAAUUGUGAGGACUCAAGUAAAUAAUGCUGAAGCCCCUUUAAAUCCUUCAAGAAUAAUACCGAUGAGGAAAGAAGAAAAGAAAAAAUCAGGCGAUAAUUCAUACGCAGCUAACCUUGAAUAUAUCCCCAACGAGCUACCCAUAAUUAAUUGAAGAAGGAAACAAAAGAGAAGCUGAAGACGUCUCCUAAAUUCACCAACAUUUGACGAUUCAAUGAACUCCACCAAACUGCAACAAAAAUAUCUGUUAGAUGACCGAAUACAUGCAAGAAUGCAAAUGUAAGCACCACAUCAUUUGUUUGGUGCACACCUUUGUGAAAUGGACUCGUUUUCAUCUUCUGAAAUUUCAACACCAUCCUUCUGAAACAGAACUGAAAACAAAGGAAGCCACAAC
rnacentral:lncRNA from 1 species